UACGGGGAGACCUAAUCGUGACUCAAUUUGUCCUUUAUAGAGGGAAUACAAGCGUGCUAAGGCUUAGAAAAAGCCAUACUCGUCUAUAUCCCAUAUUUAAGGAGACUCUCAAGCAAAUGAACCCUAUAACUAGCAUGAAAUGCAAAAAUCCUAAAAUGGAGGGAAAAGGGGUUUGAGGAGCAUGCUAAAUGAUAAAACUAAAAAGAAUGCAUGACAUGUAAUGAACAUGCAAAUAUGUACUAACGAGGGGAAGUCCCUAAGGGUCUAGCGUUGGACUAACCCAUUCUAUGAAUUCCGACUAGCGUUGGACUAGUGGAAACGUAUAUUCAUCCAUCGCAUUCAUUCAUGGCUAUGGAAAGCGAGUAGACAUGCCAAACACUCGUAAACAUAUAGCACAUAACACUUAGCAUGCUUGACUAGAUGCAAGUCCCUAACAAAGCAAAUUAACACGUAGCAACUAAGCAUGCAAGACACAUAAGACAAUUAAAGCCCUAACUAUUACAUUUGCUAGCUAGGCACAUGUCUUCGAUAGGUCUUCAUUGAAUGCUCCUCCAAGCCCUAUCUAUUACAAGCCAAGAGAUUUACACAUACCCCAUAAAGAAUAACUUAAAUAAAAAGCAAAAGUACAUGACAUAAAUGAAAGGAAUUAAAGAAAAAAACAAGGGAAGCAAGUAGACAUGCAAUUUUCAUGUAGCACGUUGGAUCACAUAGGAGAGAUAAAAAAGAUAAAAGAAGUUAUACCUCCCUUGAGUUGAUGCCUUAAAUUGAGUGAAACCACUUAUUUACCCUCCAAAAAUAAUAAAUGAGUCAAUGUACCAAUUUAUUUAUCAAAUAAUCAUAAAAAAUAAAAUGGCAAACUUGAAAUUGAAUCAAUUGAAUCAUGUAAGCAAACAACAUUCAAGAAGUCAAAAGAAGAAAGGACUUGAUUGCAAAAAUAAACAAAGUUUUGGGGUCAAAAUUAAAGAAAAAUAAAGUUCAGGGACCUAUUUGCAAUUAAAUUAAGGACCGAAUUGAGAGAAGUUGAAAAUAUCCAGGGCCACAGUACAGUCAAGGAAAAAUUCAGGGACUGAUUUGCAAAAUCGUUUUCUGGUUUCUUAAUGGACCAAACCAUUGGGCCUUUGUAUUUAUUUCGUGGGCCAAGACUUAUCAAAUCCAAUAGAAAAUCCAAGGCAAAUGGAAUGGGCUAGUCCACUAUUCUGACCCCAAAAAUAAACCAACAAACUGGUGGGCUUUAAUCCUCCAGCCCAGGACGAACCCAAAUGAAAGAAAACCAAACCCAGUUCCAAGUAGCCCAAACAAAUAGCCAAACCCAAUUCCUCUUUUGUUUUACCAAAAACCCAACAAAGCUAAUAGGUCUAAUUUCAUUCCAAAAUCCGGGAUUAAUUAUUUUAAAAGCAUACUUAAAACAACAAAAAAAAUAAUAAUAAUAACUAAGCUUGAAAGGGGGUAAAAAUGAUUAUUUUACAGAAGUUUUCGGGCCUUAGUGAAAUUACUCAAAGAUUUGGGGGUCAAAACGUGAUUUGUUAAACAUUUUCAUACCAGCUCACGAUGCAUCUUCUUCUUCUUUGUUAGUUUUUUCCUGCUGUAAUUUCUACGACAACUUAGCGACAUCACCUCAAGAUUUCAAGCCCAAGUGCACGAUACACAUAUACCCAAAUCGCCGACAAAGCCAAUCCAAUAUUAUGCAAGGAAUUCCGACAAGACAGAUUGCAAAACAAAUGGACAGAUUGCAGGCAUUGGAAGAAAAGAAAAAGCCGCAGGAACACUAAAAGAAACAAGACCCAGGAACAAAAAAAAAGCAAAAUAAAAGCGAGAUGAGUUGGGACAUUAUUUUGGGAUGGUACCUGAUGAAGGCUUUUUGUUGAAUCGAAAUCCAAACAGGAAACGCGCGAAGGAGUCGUUUGGAGCUGAUUCGUUGCAGCUUUUGACAUGGAACAGGGAGAUGGGAUCAACGACUUCAGGUCCAAAUUCGAGGGAUCUCCUGAUGUUAUUUCUCCAAGAUCUCUGAACGGAAAUCUCUCUCCUGAUGUCACAGAGUAUGCAGAAGCUAACAGCUUGGUGAAUGAUGCCUCGAUGGAGAAAAUCUUCGCUCAAGAAAACUGGAUGAUCAGCCUUUUCCAAGGAAAAACGCAGCUUGCAUUCUCCCUCUUGCUCUCGUUUCCUCUGUUUUCUUUUUUUUUAGCCCAGCCGCCAACCUCAGCUCUCUCUAUUUCUUGGUUUUUCCUCUCACUGAAGCUCCCUGUUUUUCCAGAUUUUUUCCCUUUUCCUGUUGUUUCUUUUUUUCUAUCCCUUGUUGCUCUGUUUUUCCUCCAUUUCCUCUGCUCUGUUUUUUCCGUUUUUAGCCCCUUUUUUCUGUUUUCUAGUCGUAGCUUCCCCCAAGCCUCCAAGUGUCCUUAACACCUCCCUCCUAUACACUUGUCCUAUAAUUUCUUAGACACUUUGUCUAAUGAUUAUUUUGCACACUUGUUCAACAUGCACACUUCCACCUAUCCACACAUUUUCCUUUACUUUUUGUCAUUUUCAUUUUUUUCAAAAAUCAAUUAAAAAUAAAUUAACAAUUUUCAAACCAAAUUUAAGAGAAUUAAUGCCACUUUUAACAUCUUACAAAAAUGAAAAUGAUGAAUCUGACCCAAUUAAAAAAAUAAAUAAAUAAUAAAUGAUAAAAAAUGAAAUAAUCAAAAUAAUCAAAAUUUGGUGUCUACAACAAGAAAAGUAAUAUUAAGGAAACUUUACAAAGUAUUUUACUAGUUUUAAUACUACAUGGUUUAUUGACUUAUUCCAAGAAAAUAAACUAGUUAUACUACGAAUAAUUUUUCCUACGUAACCCUAUAACUAGUAUAACCAACUUAUAGUUUUAAAAUUUGGUAUUUUUAGGGUUAUUCGAGGACGCGGAAUUCGAUUCCCAACUUGACAUCUGAACUUCACUCUUGGUGAGUGUUCCUGCUUGUUCUAUUCAUACUUGGUUAAAGUGCUUUCUUGACUUGAAAUGUGAUACUUGCAAAACUAAUUUUUGAUCCAUCGAAGUGAGCAGUGUGUACUUUAUCGCACUAGCCGUUCGAGUGGUGACUUGCGUGAGACAUUUUCUCGUGAAUAUAAAUGUAGUUGCGUCGUUGGGUGAAUCCCUCGACUCGUGAAUCCAACUGCAGUAACGUCGUUGGGUAAAUCCCUCGACCAAUUCCUGAGGGUAUACUCACGUAUACUGCUCCCAAUUUCUAAGGGUAUAUCUCGAGUAUACUGCUUCCUUAGUUGGCGUUCGGGCCCGGGACAGGGGUAAGAACGGUGACGGGUUUGGAGUAAAAAUGAGAGGAUCUACAUGGACUAUAAGUAGUGAGAGUUGACGGAGGGUCAACUACGAUGAAUGGUGAUCAAGCGAGGAAAAUGGCUCCUGAGAGCCCCUGUAUCCUACCUUGUGCUGUUAUCCGCUUUUCUACUUGUUUACCUUAGUCAAUAUGGAUUCUUGCUCCUGUUUAUUUAGAUGCAUGUUUUGGGGCACCACUGAGUUUUAGCUCACCCCACGUUUAUUUGUUUUCCUUAACAGGUUCUGGAAAUUGAAAGUUUUGAAACUUACUCAUGUUUUCCUUUUGGGAUGUAUUUGAAUACUAUGACUACUUUUGUGGGCUGUAAUGCUUUAAUUUGGAUAAUGUACUUUUUAUUUUGGAUUGCCACUUGAAGCUGGAAAAUGUGUAAAACUUAAUUUGGAUGCUUGGCUUGAUUGUUGUAUUUUGUUGUAUGAAUGUUUUAAUUAGUCGGGACGGUACGAUUCUAUUCCGCAGUUCGUAGCGCGUGAGAUUUUUAGGAGCCGUUGAUUGGCUAUUUUAAAUUACUGCUAUCUCUGAAGUUAAUGUGGUUUUAGUGACGGCCUACUUCGGAGGAAUUAUUUUGUAAAAGAAUAGGUUAUUCUUCGAAAGGAUUUGGGUUAGAAUGCUUGUGUGAGUCCUGGCGAGAGCUGGGCAGACGGCCCGCCAACCCUUUGGUUCGCCUUAGAGGGAAGUGGGGUCGCCACAGGUGGUAUCAGAGCCUAGGUUAGAAAAGUUAUCUGAGAGAUAUAUUAGAUGCGUUAGAAACCCUAAUCCUCUUUAGAAAUAAGAAUUGAGAUUAUUAGAUAUAUUUUAAGUAAUAUCCGAUCCAGUUAGUUAUUUAAGUUCUAACCCUUAAGUUUUGAUUAUUUUGCAGAUAUGGAGAAUAGUAAUGCAUGCUAACGGUAGUGGAGCGUCCAAUGGACACGUAGAGCCGCUGAGAUCCAUUUCCUAUAGGCCUCGAGGUGGAGGAGAUCGAGUUCGAUACUCACCCGCUAAUAGGCACCCUAGAUGCCAGUGUAGAGCCACACACGCGUAUCCCAAUGACUUGGUAUUAUCCCUGGAUGAUGAGCGCCGCCACUUGUGGGACGCCAACCAUACCCUGACCCAGGACGUGGAGGAGCUGAGUAUUAUGGUGGAUACUCAGUUCGACCACAUAGCCAAUUUGGAGAGUAGGCUAGCCGCUGAGCACGCUAAGUUGGAGGCCGCUCGUUUGGAGAUAGAGCGACAGAAGUCUAGGGCGACUCGACUAGCCGAGAGGAUGCGUGAUAUGAGUGCCGGCAUCAAGGCUGAUGCCGCAAUAAUGAUGGACGAGGCCACUAGCUUUAUUCAGAGUGGCGAGCAGACAGGUGCAGAGGAGGACCCGGAGGAGGAUCCAGAGGAGGACCCGGAGGAGGAUCCGGAGGAGGACGUUGCUCCGGAUAGCCCUGCCCAGGGUUAGGUUAGGACUGACCUGUUUACUCUAGAUAUGUAGGGUUAGGAAAGGGGGACAUUUGUUAAGUCAUCAAAUUUUGUCUAGAUGGAUGACUUGCUUUCGAGGCACCAUAUCCCUAAUUUUUGUUUAAGGGAUUAUCUGUAUGUAUUUUUGCUAGCUUAUGUGCCUUACUUUUGGGAAUGUCCCAACCUGCUACCUGUAUGACUUUCACGCAUGAAUAUAUGCUAAGUGCUUUAUUUUCUUUUCCCUCCAUUUCCAAGUUGAUUUUUAGUUACAAAGAGAAUAAUAAUAAUCGUAGAUAAGUAAUACUUUCACCUGAUUGUCUUAUCCUUCCGUAAUAGGCAUAGUUAGGCUAUGGAUCGCCAGGUGAUAGGAAGGAGCCGUGGGAGACCCACUAGGCAACACCCGGAAGCGGGUGGUGAUAUGGAGCCAGAGGUCAAUCAAGACCAAGGGCAAGAGGGUGUGGCCGGAGAUCAAGUGGCCACUGCAAUCAACCGUAUCACUGACGUCUUGGAGCGCUUGACUGAACAUCAAGCCUCUGGACCAGUGCACCGUCAAGGGGGCCCAGCCGAUUCGGAGGAUCGGGCCUUAGAGAGAUUCCUAAAGUUUGGACCUCCCAAAUUUUAUGGGGGACCCGAACCGGAAGCAGCUGAAGGCUGGUGGGAGAGAAUCACGGAUAUCUUCGCAGCCUUAAACUAUGCGGAGGAACGACAUGUGACUUUUGCCACAUUCCAAUUUGAGGGAGCUGCUCGCUCCUGGUGGAACCUGGUAAGGGUUACCUGGGACAGGAACCAUACUCCAAGAACUUGAGCGAACAUCACAAGGGAGUUCAAUGCCAAAUUUCUUCCACCUCUCAUCCAAGAAAAGAGAGAGGACGACUUCAUAAAAUGUAAGCAAGGGGCGAUGAGUGUCGCCGAAUAUGAGGUCUAAUUUACGAAGCUGUCCCGCUUUGCUCCUGAAUUGAUAGCCACGGAGCAAAGGCGUGUCAGAAGGUUCGUGCAGGGACUGAAUGUGGAAAUACAGGAAGGUUUAGCUGCCGUGAGGAUAGACACUUUUGUAGAUGCCGUCGAGAGAGCCCAGAGAGUUGAAGUAGCUAGAGCUCAAGUGAAAUCUUUUCAGGCCAAGAAAAGAUUUGCUCCUAGCAGUAGUCGGGAACUGACGUAUGGAAAUGCUCCACCGGCCAAAGUGGGCCGAGGAACCAGCGGAGUGACUAGUCCUGGAGCACCACGAGGCGCACACGCAAGAGGAAUCGGGGCAAGGAAUGAAUGAGGAAGAAAUAAUGGAACUAGAGUGGGACCGAAUGGAAGGGGACAACCUAGGAAUACCUCGUCGGGAGGCCGAGCAAUAAUUUUCCAAGUGACUUGUGCCUAUUGUAAGAAACCUGGCCAUACUAUAGAUGGUUGCUGGAAGAAGCAAGGAAAGUGCUUGAGAUGCGGAAGUAGCGAGCACCAAAUUUCAGGAUGUCCAAAAAUGCAGGAAGGGAUUACUCCAAACGCUAGACCAAACACUUUUAGAGGGAACCGGCCGACAGUUCCUGCCAGAGUGUAUGCUAUAGAUGACCAACCUGUACCCGAUUCCUCGGAAGUUGUGGAAGGUACACUUCCGAUUUUUCAUCGAUUAGCUAAAGUGUUAAUUGACCCUGGUGCAACGCAUUCAUUCGUAAAUCCCACAUUCAUGUCCGCAAUUGACGUGAAACCUGUUAGAUUACUCUACGAUCUUGAAGUUAGAACACCAAUGGGUAAUAAGAAGGUAAUCACUAGCUUAGCCUAUAAGAAUUGUGAAUUCUGGAUUGGAGAGCGUAAAAUGCUAGUGGAUCUAAUCAGUCUGGACAUAAAAGGUUACGAUGUUAUAAUAGGAAUGGAUUUUCUAGUUCAUUAUCAUGCUAAGCUUGAUUUCCGAGCGAAGGUGGUAGAAUUCUGUAUACCCGGAGAAGCGAUCCUGAGGUUAGAUGUUAAAGGUAGAUUAGCAUCGUCUGCUAUGAUUUCGGGAAUACGGGCGAGGAAAAUGUUGUCAAAAGGAGCGCAAGGUUUCUUAGCCUUUUUGAUUAACGCUUCCAGCGAUCAAAGGAAGUUAGAAGAUGUACCAGUGGUGCGUGAAUUUCCGGAUGUUUUCCCCGAAGAGCUAAAGACUCUACCGCCGGAAAGAGAAAUGGAAUUUAAGAUUGACUUGGUGCCUGGAACGGCUCCGAUUUCUAAGACUCCGUACCGAAUGGCUCCCCCGAGCUAAAAGAGUUGAAAAUUCAACUGCAGGACUUGUUGGAGAAAGGUUUCGUGAAAGAGAGUGACUCACCAUGGGGAGCACCCGUUCUAUUUGUGAAGAAAAAGGACGGAAGCUUGAGAUUGUGCAUUGACUACCGAGGGUUAAAUGAGGCUACAAUUAAGAAUAAAUACCCUCUACCGUUGAUUGAUAGUUUGUUUGACCAACUACAAGGGUCAGUAGUUUUCUCUAAGCUGGACUUGAGGCAAGGGUAUUAUCAGUUGAAGAUUAAGAAGGAGGAUAUACCCAAGACUGCCUUUAGCACAAGAUAUGGACACUUUGAGUUCGCAGUCAUGCCUUUCGGAUUAACCAACGCACCAGCUGCUUUCAUGGAUCUUAUGCAGAGAGUCUUUAAGAAGUACCUGGAUCAGUUUGUAGUAGUGUUCAUCGAUGAUAUUUUGAUAUACUCUAAGACUCGAGAGGAACAUGUUAAGCACUUGGAGAUAGUUUUGCAGAUACUAAGAGAGCAUAAGUUAUAUGCCAAGUUCAGUAAGUGCGAGUUUUGGUUGGAGGAGAUUUCAUUUCUAGGGCAUAAAGUUUCCAAAGAGGGGAUUGCCGUGGAUCCGGCAAAAAUUGAGGCCGUUAUGAAUUGGAAACAACCAGAAACUCCAACUGAAGUUAGAAGCUUCUUGGGAUUAGCAGGUUAUUAUAGGCGGUUUAUCCAGGAUUUCUCGAAGAUUGCAGGACCUAUGACCGAGCUAACCAAGAAAGGGACUAAGUUUAUUUGGACUCCGAAGUGUGAGUCAAGUUUUCAGGAGUUAAAGAAGCGUUUAACAUCCGCUCCUGUUUUGGUAUUACCUGAUCGAGGAGAAGGUUAUGCCGUGUAUUCCGAUGCAUCCAGAGAAGGUCUAGGAUGUGUUUUAAUGCAAAUGGGUAAGGUAGUUGCCUAUGCUUCUAGGAGAUUGAAACCUCACGAACAAAAUUACCCAACACAUGACUUGGAAUUAGCUGCAGUAAUUUUCGCCUUAAAGAAAUGGAGACACUACUUGUACGGUGUGACUUUUGAGAUUUAUACGGACCAUAAGAGUCUCAAGUAUUUGUUCUCCCAAAAGGAACUAAAUUUGAGACAAAGGCGAUGGGUAGAAUUUCUGGAAGAUUAUGACUGUUCGAUUAAUUAUCACCCAGGAAAAGCCAAUGUGGUAGCUGACGCUCUAAAUAGAAAGGCCCAAGUAGCAGGGUUAAUGGUUAAAGAGUGGGACAUGUUAGAAGAAAUAAGUGGUUGGAACCCUCGCUUGGAGAAACUGAAGAUAUUAUUUGGGAACUUAUCGUUAAAAUCACCGUUACUAGAGCGUAUUAAGGAGGCCCAGAAAACAGACCCUAUGAUUCAGAAGAAUUUGGAGAAAGUGCAAAAAGGGGAAACGCUAGACUUUAAAUUAGGGUCUGAAGGGGUAUUGAGGUUCCGAGAUCGAAUUGUGAUUCCGGCAGAUGAAGAGAUAAGGAAAGAAAUUUUAGAAGAAUCACAUCGAUCGAAGUAUUCUAUACACCCAGGUGUGACCAAGAUGUAUCAUGAUGUGAAGGGAUUAUACUGGUGGGAAGGUUUGAAAAAGGACGUGGCAGAGUUUGUACAGAGAUGCUUAAUCUGCCAACAAGUAAAAGCUGAGCACCAGAAGCCCUCUGGUUUAUUGCAACCGUUAGAAACCCCUGAAUGGAAAUGGGAACAUAUAACAAUGGAUUUUGUAACAGGAUUGCCUAGAAGCCAAAAAGGAUUUGAUGCAAUUUGGGUAAUAGUUGACCGACUCACUAAGUCUGCACAUUUCCUACCCGUGAGCAUGGGCUUCUCUUUGGAAAAACUGGUCAAGUUGUACACAGAAGAGAUCCUAAGAUUACAUGGUAUCCCUGUAAGUAUCGUGUCUGAUCGAGACCCAAGGUUUGUCUCGCAUUUUUGGCAGAAAUUUCAGGAGUCUUUGGGGACCAAGUUGAAAUUUAGUACUGCGUACCAUCCCCAAACCGACGGGCAGUCGGAAAGGACAAUUCAAACUUUGGAGGAUCUGCUGAGAUCGUGUAUACUAGAUUUUGGAGGUAAAUGGAGCCAAUACAUGACCUUAGUAGAAUUUGCAUAUAAUAACAGCUAUCAGGCUUCGAUUCAAAUGGCACCUUAUGAAGUUUUGUAUGGGAGAAGGUGUCGAUCUCCGAUUCAUUGGGAUGAAGUUGGAGAAAAGAAAGUUGUAGACCCUACAGCUAUACCUUGGAUAGAAGAAGCCCAGGAGAAAGUGAAACUAAUUAGAGAAAGGCUUCAAACUGCUCAGAAUAAACAAAAGAGCCACGCCGACACAAGGAGGAAAGAUUUGGAAUUCGAAGUAGGAGACAAGGUCUUCCUAAGAAUUAAACCCUUGAAGGGCGGAGUAGUGUCUAAGAAAGGUAAGAAGCUAAAGCCAAGGUAUAUCGGACCUUUUGAAAUUUUGAAGCGAGUUGGGAAUGUGGCAUAUCAGCUGAAGUUGCCCGCAAGCAUGGCUAAGGUUCACAAUGUAUUUCACGUUUCCAUGCUUAGGCAAUAUUAUUCCGACCCAAGCCAUGUGCUGCCACUGGAGGGAAUGGAGGUGGAUGAGACGUUAACGUAUGAAGAAGGACCAGUCCAGAUUUUGGAAAGGGAAGUGAAGGAGCUGAGAAAUAAGAAAAUUCCUCUGGUGAAAAUUCUAUGGAGAAAUCAUGGACUUGAGGAAGCAACUUGGGAAUUAGAAGAAGAAAUGCAGAAAGAAUACCUUAAUUUAUUUCCUUAGAAAGUGUGAAUUUUGAGGACAAAAUUCAUUGUAAGGAGGGGAGGAUGUGAGAAUCCUGAAAAUAUAUAUACAAAUAUCAUUUCAUAUUUCAUUUGCAUUUUUAAUUCAUUAGUAAAUUCUAGUAUUACUUUCACUUGUUUCAAUAUAAGUGCGUAUAAACACUUUUCAUGAGAGGAAUAAUAAAAUUUUUCUAAAUCAUGAAAUUUCUUGGCUUUGCUAGACUAAUUAAUACCUUUAGAGUUAGAAUAAAUUUUAGCACCUCAACAUAAAAUAUUAAAGUACUUAGUUUUAUUAUGCUAAUUAAUAUCACAUGAGUAGAUUAAUUUUACUACCUUAAAAUAAACUAUUUGAAGUCCAAUAAUUAAUUCUAAUUAGUGAACAACGUUAAAUACUCCCAAAAAUUCUCACGAUAGGACGAAGCCGAUAAAUUUUAGAUAAAAACAAUACAAGUAUACUAAAUGCGUGUGGGACGUAAAAAUUUCGACAAUUGAAACCUUGUAAGAUUAGUGUGACAGCCCCACCUCCCCCUAAGGCGAACCGCCUGCCCAACUCUCGCCGGAACUCAGUCGUUCACUACAUUCCUCAAAUGAAUUACAAGAAUAAACCUCAAAUAUUACAAUAUAAAUCUCCAAUAUACAUCAAAUUCUCCAAAAAUUACAUGUCAUAAGCGAAGCGGAAACAAUUCCCCACUAAACAUAAAAUGAAUCCAAAUCCAAAUUGUACAAAAUAUAGGCCGUCCAUUCACGUGAAUAAUCACAAGUCCUUCCUUCACCUUGAACCCUGUGGAGGGGAAUAAAAUAGUUUUGGGGUGAGCUAGAAGCUCAGCAAGUAACCAGGAAAAAUCAUUAAACAAAUAUAUUUCACAAUAAUGCAUUUCGAUGAUGUCAUGAUUCAGAGAUCAAAUGUACGUCUCUAAAAUAUCUUUCAAGCAAUAAAUGCUCUGGUUCAAGCAAUAAAUGCUCUCAAGCAAUAAAUGCUCUGGUUCAAGCAAUAAAUGCUCUCAAGCAAUAAAUACUCUGGUUCAAGCAAUAAAUGCUCUGGUUCAAGCAAUAAAUGUUCUGGUUCAAACAAUAAAUGCUCUCAAGCAAUAAAUGCUCUGCAAAUAUUCACAAGCCAUGAAUGCCCCUUUUUGAGCUCCGGAGCCAUUUGCUCCAAGUGAACAGAGGUGGAGACGUUGGUGUCCAGCACAAGACUCCCCAAAACUCAUUGAAGCCAAAAUCAUAUCAUGUAUUCACAUGCAAGCACGCAUGAGAUGCAAUCGAGUAAAUAAUACAAGAAACAUUUCAAAAGUACUUGGGAAAUAGUUGAGGGUCACUCACCUCCAUGGCUCAGAAACCAUCCAUCAUAUAUCAGUGCCUUGCUCAAAUCCAAGCCUUAGAUCACAAACGCAAAGCAAUCAAGCCCUUCAAAGUUCGGACAGCACUUCCCUUGAAUUUACUAACUUUUCCAGCCAUCAUGGCUUCAUUAUUUCCUCAUUCCAACCCAAAGGUACACACACAACAACAAGUUCAUCCAAUAGCCAUUCAGCAAGCUCCAAGUAGUACUAGUACAAGUCAAGCUAGGGAAAAGUCCGGAAAUGAAAGUUAAGCUCAAAACAAGAAAAAUAGUUUUGGACGUCAUUUUACAGUAAUGGUACCAAAGGCGCUACGAUUGUCGGAUGAAGGUACAAGAUACACCGUUUCGAAACUAAGAGAUAGGGCUACAAUAUUGUAGAAGGUCACUCAACUCAGUUUCGAGUAUAACCAGGUCAAAAAUGCAAGAUACUACACCAGAAUCACAAAAACAGAUUCACAGAAUGCAUUCUAGCGGAAACAUCAUAAAUCAGUCUACCUAAGUCCAAAUCCAGAAAUUCCAAAACCAGCUGAAAGCUAAGAAACAGGGAUACAUUUCAUCAGAAGACAUCAACAACCAAUUCGGAAGCAAUCCUGACCAAAACAACCCAUUACAGAAGCAAUUCUCAAUUUCGGGUAAAACCAGAACAGCAAUAGUAAUUUCAACUUUUCUCAUUCUACACUACUCCGAUUGACCUGAAAUUUUGUAGGAACUUCUAAAAUAUCAUUCCCUACAACUUUUAUGUUUUAAUCCAAGGCCAAUUCGGCCUCUAACUAGGAGCUAUAAAUUCGGGCAGAAUGUAUUCAUUAGAACCCUAAUUUUUUCAAUUUUCUUCCAAACCAGAAAUUGUUUGCAAUUUACCACUUUUUCUACCUCAUAAAGUCCUUAAAUAUCAUUUCCAAUCAUCAUACAUGACCACAUAAUCAUAUCCAUAUGAAAACAGAAAAAUCCCCAAUAAUUAUAAAACUUCACCAAUUCAACCAAAAUCAAGAUAUAAUCCAUCAAAGUGCAUCUUAUACCACCACCAAUCAUGAAUUGAACAUCAUUAGAGGAAGGAGAGGGGUCCUUCACAACUCACCUUAGCAAUACAAGAGAUAGAGCAACUAGUCACCUUAGCUUUUCAAACAACUUCACAACCAAGCUCAACUCCACCAAACUAAGAGGUUUUAUGGAGUAAUUGGAAGAUUAAUCGGUUUAAUUGAAAGAUUGGGCAAGAUUGGAGACUAGAAAAUUGAGAGCUUUUCUUCCCUUUUUUGAGCAAGAGAAUUCGGCCAAGAAGCUUGCAAAAUGAAGAGAUUUUUGGCCAAUUUUAAUUAAAUGGUAAAGUUAUGAAUAGUAGUCAAACUCAAGACUAAAUCUUAUGGUGACACUUGUCACCUUUAGGUUUAAAACUUAUCUUUUUGUCUCUCCAAUACAAAUAUCUUAACACUUUGUAAAAUAAUAUCACUUAAUACAAAAUUCCAACAAGUUGUCAAAAAUAUAAUGCAUUUACCGCACUAGCGGGUCCCACGUCCAAAAUACGCUCGUAAUUUCUCAAAAACUAACCGAUACUAGAAAAAUCAUUUUAAAACUAUCUUUGCUCAUAAACUUUAUUUGGGGAAUUUUUCUAAUAAAGAAACUGUAGAAAAGGCGGGCGAUUAAAUAAAAGAAACCCUAGAAAAUUAGAAAAUUUUCAGGUUCUCGCACUCAUUCUUUUCGGAGCGUCACAAUUAGUGUAUCAUUAGGAGUUUAAUUUACAUUCGAAAUAAAUUUUUGGUGUUAAGUUAAAAUCAAGGACUCAAGUAAGGAUUAGUAGGGUAAUGUGAAUUGUCUAAACUACCCUUCACAAUAUCACAAAAUCACCAUGCAAUCCCAAAACAUUUCCGGACAGCAUUAUGAUCAACCUCACCAUUCGGCCAAUGCUCACCUUCACCACUUACACACUCAACCUCUUCCUACACUCCAACUCCCUCCAAAACCGCGAGCCAUCUCCCUGUUUUCUUUUCUUUUUUCCCUUAACUCUGCAACAUCUCACCUCAACCACAACUACACCUGACAACCGAGAGCAAGGAGAGAAAAACAGUGAGCUGCGAUAGAUUGCUGUUCCUGUCCGAGAAGGAGAAGCGAGAGGGAGAAUGAAGGAGAGAACCGUGUGUGAGCUUCCGUCUGCAUUUUUCAACUCCAAACAACUGCACUUCAGCACUUCCCACUGCAGCACCAUCCCAAUUGCAACCACUGCAACCAAAACCUGUGCGAGCUGAGAGCCGAGAGGGAGAACAGGAAAUUUUUCAGAUUUCUUGUGAGUGAGCUGCAAUCUGAGGUAACCUCUGAGCUAGAUUAAAUUAAUUAGAGGUUGAUUGAGUUGAUUAGGAGCAUGCAUGUAGAGUUAAUCGAUCGGAAGAUGAACUAGAAAAGAAAAGGAAAACUUGCUGUGCGAAGGGAUAAAUUUUGGCCGUGAGCUGAAAACGGAAAUGCAGCUCCGAAACUGUUCACUCUUAGCAAUUCGAACACCUAGAUGUAGUUAGCCAAGUGAAAACUUGAUGAUUAAGACCAUGCAUGUUGAUUUGUGCAUUCGGAUGAUGAUGUUAAAGCAUAAGAAAAUUCUGUUUCGAAAAGAAAAUGGUUGACCGAGAAUCGAUUAAGAAAUGCAUGAUGUAAUCUACUUUGUUGUGAUAAUCAGAACCUGAGAUUAUGAUUAGCUAACUCAAACUUGAAUGAUUAAGAUGUUUAGGACCUUGCAUGUUGAUUUUUGAACCAUCGAAUGAUGAUUUGAAGAAAAAGAAAUCUGAUGUGCGCAAGAAAUUUAGACUUGCCGUGAGCUUGAAACAGAAACGCAGCUGUAAUCUUGGUUAAUUGAUAUAAUCAGAGCUUGCGAAUGUGAUUACCUCACUAAUAAGAAGGUAAUUAAGUCUUGCAUGAGGCUAAGUAGCUCGGCUAACCAAGAAAAUAAAAUGAAAACAGAAAAAUUGUUUCAGGCAUGAUCAUCCGAGACUAGUUGAUAUAAUUUCUGGAUUUUAGCGAUGUUUGUAGUGUUAAAUGAAUCCGAUGUUGAACUAGAAAUGCUAAUCAAGUGGUUAAGCAGUUGCCUGUUGAAUUCGAGUCCCUAAAAUACUGAUUUAGCCAAGGAAAAAGUUGGAUUAAGAACAUACAAUUGCUGGAAAGUUUUUGUGAACUGCCGUGAGUUUGAACCUGGAAAUUUUGAAGAUUAUAACAGUUGUUUAAAUUUAAUUUCGAGCUGGAAAUGUUGACUGUCUAGCCAUGCAAUUGCAUGAUGAAGUUGAGAGUUUCAUAGCAUGUCUUAGCCAAGGAAAUAUUGAUUUAUGAACACUUAAGUGCUGGAAAAAUUUUUAUGUUCGAGAAGGUUAAGCUGGAAUUGUUUGGAGGACUUGUGUUUAUUUUGAUUAAGUUGAGAUGUGAUAUGAGCUUGCCAAAACCAAGAGCUAAUGAUUGACGAAGCCUUGGUCACUUGUUUUAUUCUUCUAUCAGAAAUGAAUCUGUUGAAAUCUAGGGCAAAUGAUUGACGAAACCCUAGUGAUUUGCUAUUUGAAAUGUGAUUAUGCCAUGUCGACAAAUUUGAGCCAUAAUGUGAUUUCGAAAUGGAAUCGAAAUUGUGAAAGUCAUUUUGACCCUGUGAACUCCAGCAAAUUUUGAUCAAGCUAAUCAAAAAUAUUUUUACGCUAGUAAUAAAUGAUAAAAUUCAGUAAUUAGUAUUUUGUCUGAAAUUUUGCCAACCGACAAUUUCCCUUUAGCUUAAACUAGCCUUAAUGGUAAUAGAAAAUAAAUUUUUCCUAGUUUUAAAACCCUAAGUCUUGUUUCAUUUCCUUUCCUUUCUUUAAGACCUGUUACUUGCUAGUUUUCUAGAGGAAAUUCCCAAAAUACGAGAUUUUAGCGAUUUUAACUAAACGUGCAGAAAACUUGUUCGGCAAGAAACAUUAUUUCACGUAAACUAGUUCUAGUAACACUUUUACAAGAAAAGUAAUAUUAAGGAAACUUUACAAAGUAUUUUACUAGUUUUAAUACUACAUGGUUUAUUGACUUAUUCCAAGAAAAUAAACUAGCUAUACUACGAAUAAUUUUUCCUACGUAACCCUAGAACUAGUAUAACCAACUUAUAGUUUUAAAAUUUGGUAUUUUUAGGGUUUUGCGAGGACGCAGAAUUCGAUUCCCAACUUGACAUCUGAACUUCACUCUUGGUGAGUGUUCCUGCUUGUUCUAUUCCUACUUGGUUAAAGUGCUUUCUUGACUUGAAAUGUGAUACUUGCAAAACUAGUUUUUGAUCCAUCGAAGUGAGCAGUGUGUACUUUAUCGCACUAGCCGUUCGAGUGGUGACUUGCGUGAGACAUUUUCUCGUGAAUCUAAAUGUAGUUGCGUCGUUGGGUGAAUCCCUCGACUCGUGAAUCCAACUGCAGUAACGUCGUUGGGUGAAUCCCUCGACCAAUUCCUGAGGGUAUACUCACGUAUACUGCUCCCAAUUUCUAAGGGUAUAUCUCGAGUAUACUGCUUCCUUAGUUGGCGUUCGGGCUCGGGACAGGGGUAAGAACGAUGACGGGUUAGGAGUAAAAAUGAUAGGAUCUACAUGGACUAUAAGUAGUGAGAGUUGACGGAGGGUCAACUACGAUGAAUGGUGAUCAAGCGAGGAAAAUGGCUCCUGAGAGCCCCUGUAUCCUACCUUGUGCUGUUAUCCGCUUUUCUACUUGUUUACCUUAGUCAAUAUGGAUUCUUGCUCCUGUUUAUUUAGAUGCAUGUUUUGGGGCACCACUGAGUUUUAGCUCACCCCACGUUUAUUUGUUUUCCUUAACAGGUUCUGGAAAUUGAAAGUUUUGAAACUUACUCAUGUUUUCCUUUUGGGAUGUAUUUGAAUACUAUGACUACUUUUGUGGGCUGUAAUGCGUUAAUUUGGAUAAUGUACUUUUUAUUUUGGAUUGCCACUUGAAGCUGGAAAAUGUGUAAAACUUAAUUUGGAUGCUUGGCUUGAUUGUUGUAUUUUGUUGUAUGAAUGUUUUAAUUAGUCGGGACGGUACGAUUCUAUUCCGCAGUUCGUAGCGCGUGAGAUUUUUAGGAGCCAUCGAUUGGCUAUUUUAAAUUACUGCUAUCUCUAAAGUUAAUGUGGUUUUAGUGACGGCCUACUUCGGAGGAAUUGUUUUGUAAUAGAAUAGGUUAUUCUUCGAAAGGAUUUGGGUUAGAAUGCUUGCGUGAGUCCUGGCGAGAGUUGGGCAGACGGCCCGCCAACCCUUUGGUUCGCGUUAGGGGGAAGUGGGGUCGCCACAAUAAGCGUAACUCCAGUUAUGAUCAGAAUACCAGAGGAUGGCAAAGCUGCCUUUCUCGUUGCCUUUCCUUUUGUUCCCGAAUGUACUUUGCUAAGAUGCUAGCCGUGAGGAACCAACUUUUAACCAGCAUUUCUUCUAAUUUCCAACCUUGUAAGCUUUCAUAUAUGGUAGCUACAGUUGUUUUGAGAUUUGAUGGCUAUAUAUAGUUCCACGAGUUGAGUUAAAUUAAAGCAAAUGAAAGAAAAACUCAUGAUUUGAGGGACCUAAAUUGGCUUCUAAUCACUUAAUAUUGUCCUUACAAAUAUUUUAAAGACUAUAAAAUUUGAAGGACUGGUGUAGUGGAAUAAAAUUUAAUUUUCAAGUAAUCUAGAGUUUAAUUAAUUAAAAUGGCACCAAUGGAAUACUCCUAAGCCUUUAUUUUAGAAUCUUGAGUGGAAAAUGAUUUAAUCCUAAAAUAAAUAUUUUAUAAAUUAUUAACUUGGAAAAUACGUAUGUUUCUUGAUUUAAGAUAAUAAAGUCAAUAAGUCUCGAAAUAAAUAUUAGGAAAUAAAUGGUGCGUAUAUUUGUAUUUCAAGGUCAAACUUGAUUUUAAUAGUUUAAACAAUAAAGUAAGAAUGAUAAGUGAUCACUUACGAAUUAUAUAUUUACUUUGAAAUUAUUAAAUUGCCCCAGGAAGUAGCUGUGAACUAGUACAAACUCGAGACUCGAGAGUAGUUCAUUUGGAUAAUUGGUGAGUAUUUCCGAAUUUAUCUGUUUAACUGUUUAUGUGUACUUAAGUGAAAUUAAGUGACAAAUGUACUUAUUAUGAAAUAUUGCUAAGUGAUUCAUUACAAAGUGUAUCUCAAUUGUCCCUCACCUUCUAAGUCGGGAGUGUACUUUAUCGCACUCGGUUUAGUUGAGUUUGAAGGUUGAUAAUUGAUCAAGUGAUAUUGUAAGUGUGCAUGACUAUAAGCCGUAUGUAUACUUUAUCACAUUGGCUGAACUGGGCCCCAAAACCCUUUGUUCAACGGACUAUUUGAGCCAGCAAAGGGCUUGGUCAGGUAGGAUGAUAGCUUUGGUUAAGUGUUUCGGUAUACUCGAGUAUUACCACGGAGUAGCAGAUCACUGAUAUUGAUAUGGCCAUCUAAAUGAGGGAAGUGUUUAUUGUUUUGGAGGUUAUAAGGAGGAGUUCGAUAGAGUGUGUAGUGCAUUGAAAUGGCUCUAAUGCGAGUACCGUAUCCUUUUAAAAGUGAUUGUUCAGUGAAGUGUUUCCUCAAUUGUUUAAUGAAAGUGAUUGUACAAUGAAAUAUGCACUACUUGCUUAAUUGUACUGAUUUAAGCAUUUAUUAAAUGUUACUUGCUUGGCAAACCUCAAUGAGUAUUAGCUCAGCCCUUUUAGCUUUGUUUUCCUUAUAGGAGUUGGAGGUCGAGGAUCGAACGAGCGAACUUAGCGAUUUAUCGUGAAGACUUUAGCAUUGUGAUUAGUAUCUUAAUAAGGUAGGAAUUUUGUAUCGAUCGAGGUAUUAUAAAAGGAUGUGAACGGUUGGUUUUGGUUUAUCAAAACAGUUAUCUCUGAAGUUAAUGUGAAAUCAAUGAGUCCUGGCGAGAGCCAGGCAGACAAUCCGCUAACUUUUAGGGUACACCCUAUAAGGAAGUGUGGUCGUCACAACUACUUAGUUUCAUUCCUCUUGUCACCGCCCAAAUUAGUGAAUCAACUUCUAUUGGUUUCCUCUCAACACCGCCCAAGUAUAUUAGCAGAUAGUUUCUUCUUGUCUCUCUCUUGGGCACCGUUUGGAUUUAGCAUUUGCUGGCAGCUGAUUUCUCCCUUUGGCAGCUGACUUAGCAAAGGUUGGCAGAUGCUAGUCACCGCCCAACGUUUUGGCAAUUGUUUUUCCUAAGUCCUCGAUUGUCUAGCAGCUUAGUUUCUCUCUUGGUUGCAUGGUUAAUUGUCCAACCAUCAAUGGUUAAAUUGGUCCUUUAGUUUAUUAUCUCAUACAUUCGUUCCUAACUUAAUUUGUAUUUUCUUCGAAAAUUUUCUUACGUUGAUCUAGUAGAUUUUCACACAUUUGGUUUUAAAAAAAACUAGUUAGAUAUGUAACUUAUUCAACUAUGUAAUAAAUUCAAAUGACACAAUUUGCCGUAUGUCUAUCAUAUGUUUAUUUGAUUCCUAAAAUUUUCUAAUCCAUUCUAUUAUUUUGUUUAUUAUUUAUUUAUUUAUCAUAUUUUUUCCCUUAAUUUUCAUUUUUAUAAGAAUUUAAUUAUGCAUUUAAUUUAACCAUUCAUUUGUUACAUAUAAUAUUUCUAAUAAUAGAUUAAAUGUAAUGAAAUAAAUUCAAAGUGUACACAUAAAUUUUCGAGUUCUCACAUUUAUCCCCCCUUAAGAAUAUUUUGCCCUCGAAAUUUCGUACUUUUAAUCGUAAAAAGCUUCGGGUAUUCUUUCCGUAUUUUAUUUUCCAUUUUCCCAAAUUGCUUCCUUCAAUCCUUCAUAUUUCCACAAGACCUUAACCAAAGGAAUUUCUUUGUUUCUUAGCGUUUUCUCCUUUCCAAUUUAAGUGUUGUAUCGACUACUUUCCCAAGUAUAUAAAAUUCAAAUACUGUAAUUUACAAUUCAACUGGGCGCUAUAUCUAACUAAACAAUCUAUACCUAAGAUAACAUCAUAACCCUGACGCUAUCGCUCCCUAAACUCUAUAACUCUCACAACUAGUCUAUAUACGAAUAUGUAAUAAUCAAUUAUAUGUAAUUAACCAUUUAAAAACACGUUUAGUCAAGAAGAAUAGAUAACUCAACGCAUAUAAAACAUACAAAUUAAGACUCUAAAAACAAAACAAAUGACUCGACAAGACACUAAACACAACAAUUAAGACACUAGACACAACAAAAACAAGAAAAAUAAGUAAAAAUAUCUAAAUUAGUAAAGUUAUUCUUAGUACCGAUAUUGACAAAUCUUCCCCGGCACCGACGCCAGAAACUUGACGUGCACGGGUUAUACAAUUAACUCAUUCACAAUCAAGUUUUACAUUUAUAAAAUUCUAAAUAUCCCACAUGCGAUUUUUCUACAAUUAUACAGGUAGUUUAUUGAGUAUAGGGGUAUUAGCUGUCGAUCCCACAGGGAAGAUUUUCAAUUACCGGUGAUUUUCAAACUCCUUUAUUAUUUAGACUAUCACAAGUGUAAGAAAUUAACUCUACACUAUAGACAUGAAGUAAAAAUAAUAAAAAUAACACUAGAAAACUCCUAGAGAUAUAAAAUUUCUUACUACUCUUGGAAAUGAAGUUACUAGUUAAGUGAAUGUUAUUAUCUUGGUUAAUCAUAGCGUAAUUUCCUAAUGUAAGUGAAACCCACUCUCAUAAUGAAUCAACUAUACUUGUAAUUAAGCCAUACCUACUCUCGUGGUUAUGAAAUUAACUACAAGCUCAUUUCUCCUAUGAAAUUACAUGAAACAAGUCAUUAAAGCUACAAAGGUGCUCCUCUACUCUCGUGAGUGAACUCCCUACGUUUAUCAUUUUAUUGAACUAAUGUUAAACUCUAAUUCUCAUUGCAAACUUAACACCUUUAGAUAAUCACAACUAAUGACCGAUUAAUCAUGAUUAGAAAAGCAAAAGUGAUAAAUAACUUGUUCAAAACAAUACCAUCAAAUAACCAGGUAAAUAUCACAAACAAGAUAUAGAAAAUUCAUCCAUACUCUAGGCAUAAAUUUUAACUAAAUAUGAAGAAAAAUAAAUCCAAACUUGUAUUAUAGUUAAACAUGAAUUUAAAUGCAAAAGAGAAAGUGAAAGGAGAGAAAUCAUCCUUGUCACAUGAGCUCUAACUCUCCAUCUUUGCUCUUCAAAUCUUCAUCCAAGUCUAUCUACAAAUACAAGAAGGAAAAGCUACACUAUCUAUACUAUACUACUCUAACGAAUGAAGUAAGGAAACUCCAGUGAAAGUCUACAUUUUUGUGGAGUUUCUCUAACCUUCCAAAGUUAUGAAAAUAUUCCCCAAAGGCCGCUAUUUAUAGAGGAAUUCCAUGCAAAAGACAAAGUGUUAAAUCAUGUUAAGAUUCCUCUUGAGCCCAUAAACAAGCUAGAUUUGAGUAGUAAAGCUUCUUUUGCAGUUGUCUUGGGCUGUUUCCACUGGUAUUCUUGCAGGAAAAUGGGUCAAAAAACUUGAGUGAACAAAACACAAGUUGCAGCCGAAAUUGAGGAAUAUACAACCUUGGAAUACGCAACUUCAAGCCACGUAUUCAAGGGUCGCGUUUUCACUUCUCUGAAUUUGGUACCACUUCAACUGCUAUUUUCUUGAUGAUAGAGGCCGAAUUAGCUCUUGUACAAAAUAUGAAAGUUGUAGCCCUUUGUAUUAGCUUUCGAUGUCUCAAGAAUCAUCCAAUUUGGGGUUCUGUAGACUAUUAAAUGACUUAAAUACCCUCAACUGGUUAGAGCUCUGUUUCAACUUUCGACAAUAAAGUUGCACUUCUGUAUUUUGACUUUUUGACAAUGAAAACGACUGAACUGGACUUUGAUGUUCCAUACCAAAUAUAAAUCUAUGCCUUAGCUUCAAAAUGGUAUAAAAAUCACCUCAAUCCAAUACUUGUAACUCAAGAUAUCGCCGAAAUACUAAAAGGUGUCAAAGCUGGAAACUUGCAUUUCAUCCUUUGAGUAUUUUGCACUUCAUGUCUUCUUUUUAUCACUUCAAAUCAUCAAUAAUCAUCCAACUAUCUUCUCAAUUUACUCCAAUUGAUGAUUGAAUCAUUAAACCUACAUAAACCUAAAGUUUUCACCAUUAAAAUCCAUAGAAAUGUAAUUUUUACCACUUAAACUAUAAAAUGCAUAUUUUCACUAGAAUUCUAAUUAAUUAGCUAUAAAAGUAGUUAAAACACGCCAAAACUAACAAAUAAAACACACUUAAAAUACAUAAAAUAUGCACUUAUCAUUUAACAAUUCGUAGCUUCAAAAAUUGUGAGAAUAGCCACAGAUUUUCAAGAACGUGUUUUCAAGGACUCACUAAAUUCAAGAUUGGGAACUUGUUUCAAUUUCGCAAGAACCCUAGAAUUUAUGUCAAGUAACUUCAAGAUUUUUUCUAGAAAAGUGAUCAAGCAAUUCAAGAAUUUAUGAAACUCCAAGAAAUCCACAACAUGUUCCAAGAAACAAAUACGAUCAGCCACAAACCCUAGGACCCGUUAUCAUGGCAAGAAUUGUGACGCCCCGAAAAGAAUGAAUGCGAGAACCCGAAAAUUUUCUAAUUUUCUAGGGUUUCUUUUAUUUAAUCGCCCGCCUUUUCUACAGUUUCUUUAUUAGAAAAAUUCCCCAGAUAAAGUUUAUGAGCAAAGAUAGUUUUAAAAUGAUUUUUCUAGUAUCGGUUAGUUUUUGAGAAAUUAAGAGCGUAUUUUGGACGUGGGACCCGCUAGUGCGGUAAAUGCAUUAUAUUUUUGACAACUUGUUGGAAUUUUGUAUUAAGUGAUAUUAUUUUACAAGGUGUUAAGAUAUUUGUAUUGGAGAGACAAAAAGAUAAGUUUUAAACCUAAAGGUGACAAGUGUCACCAUAAGAUUUAGUCUUGAGUUUGACUACUAUUCAUACCUUUACCAUUUAAUUAAAAUUGGCCAAAAAUCUCUUCAUUUCUUACCUCUCUUGGCCGAAUUUUCUUGCUCAAAGAAGAAAGAAAAGCUCUCAAUUUUCUAGUCUCCAAUCUUGCCCAAUCUUUCAAUUAAACCGAUUAAUCUUCCAAUUACUCCAUAAAACCUCUUAGUUUGGUGGAGUUGAACUUGGUUGUGAAGUUGUUUGGAAAGCUAAGGUGGCUAGUUGCUCUAUCUCUUGUAUUGCUAAGGUGAGUUGUGAAGAACCACCCUCCUCCCUUAAUUGAUGCUUAAAUCAUGAUUGGUGGUGGUAUAAGAUGCACUUUUAUGGAUUACAUCUUGAUUUUUGGUUGAAUUGGUGAAGUUUUAUAAUUUUUGGGGAUUUUUCUGUUUUCAUAUGAAUAUGAUUAUGGGAUCAUGUAUGAUGAUUGGAAAUGAUGUUUAAGGACUCUAUGAGGUGGAAAAAGUGGUUAAUUGCAAACAAUUUCUGUUUUGGAAGAAAUCUUGGAAAGUUAGGGUUUGAUGUUCUUCAUUCUGCCUGAAUUUGUAGCUCAUAGAUAGAUGCCGAAUUGGCCUUGUCUUAAAACAUGAAAGUUGUAGGGAAUGACAUUUUAGAGGUGCCUACAAAAUUUCAGGUCAAUCGGAGUAGUGUAGAAUGAGAAAAGUCGAAAUUACUAUUGCUGUUCUGGUUUUACUCGAAUGUAAGAAUUGCGCCUGUAAUUGGUUGUUUUGGUUGAGAAUGCUUCCGAAUUGGUUGUUGAGGUUUUCUGAUGAAAUGUAGCCCUGUUUCUUAGCUUUCAGUUGGUUUUGGAAUUUCUGGAUUUGGACUUGGAGAGCCUGAUUUAUGAUGUUUCCGCUAGAAUGCGUUUUGUGAACCUGUUUUUGUGAUUCUGGUGUAGUAUCUUGCAUUUUUGACCUGGUUACACUCGAAACUGGGUUGAGUGACCUUCUGUAAUAUUGUAACCCUAUCUCUUAGCUUCGAAACAGUGGGUCUUGCACCUUCAUCCGACCAUCGUAGUGCCUUUGGUACCAUUACCGCAAAAUGACGUCAAAACUAUUUUUCUGGUUUUGAGCUUAACUUUCAUUUCCGGACUUUUCCCUAGCUUGACUUGUACUAGUACUACUUGGAGCUUGCUGAAUGGCUAUUGGAUGAACUUGUUGUUGUGUGUGUACCUUUGGGGUUGGAAUGAGGAAAUAAUGAAGCCAUGAUGGCUGGAAAAGUUAGUAAAUUCAAGGGAAGUGCUGUCCGAACUUUGAAGGGACCUGUUUGCAUAGGGUUUGUGAUCUAAGACUUGGAUUUGAGCAAGGCAAUGAUAUAUGAUGGAUGAUUUCUGAGCCAUGGAAGUGAGUGACUUCAAACUAUUUCUAAAGUUAAUUAUGAACCGUUUCCUGCAUUAUUUACUUUUGAACUGUUUCCAAAGUUACUUUUGAACUGUUUUCUUGUCUUAUUUACUUUUGACCUGUUUCCAAAGUUACUUUUGAACUGUUUUCUUGCAUAUCAUGCGUGCUUGUAUGUGAGUGAUCAGGAUUUCUGUGUAACUCAAUACAAAAAUGAGUUUACUAUGAAUGGGCACUUAGGCGAGGGUGUACUUUAUCGUACUCGAUCUAAACCCUAUUAGUUGCUAUUAAUACCUGUGAAAUAUGAUUUUUAUGAUUUGUUAUAGAGCAUUCAUGGCUUGUGAAUAUUUUAGAGCAUUUAUUGCUCGUGGCUUGGGCAAGAGAAGUGAGCUGUGUAGCUCAGGAUCUUAAGGGUCAACCAGUGAUCAAACUCGACAAAAGAAUUGGCUUGGGAGCCACCCGUAUCCUUUUAAUGAAUGUUACUAUUGCUUCGCUUUCCAUUGUAAAUGUUUCUUGAAUUCUUGAUACUCCAUAUUUAAUGUUUUGUAAAUGUCGUAAUUGUUUCUGGACUUAUCAUUUGAUUUAUGACAUCAUUGAAAUGAACUAUUGUUAAACCGAUUUGAUUUCUGAUUUUACUGGUUACUCGCUGAGCUUUUAGCUCACCCCAAAACUAUUUUAUUCCCCUCCACAGGGCUCGUGGCGAAGGAAGGCUUGUUGUGAUUUUAUUGUUGUGGAAUUCCUCUUGUAUAAUCAUUGGGAUCAUGGAUCAGAGUAGCGCAGCGGAAGCGUGGACGCUUCGUUUUUUAUAUGUAAAUAUUGGAGAAUUUGAUGUAUAUUUGAGUUUUAUCUUGUAAUCUGUUUGAGGAAUGUAGUGAACGACUGAGUCCCGGCGAGAGCUGGGCAGGCGGCCCGCCGAACCCUCUGGUUCGCCUUAGGGGGAGGUGGGGCUGUCACAAGAAUUAAAUUUGAUUCUUUUUUUUUUGAAUCAAGAACACACAAGACACGAAGACACAGCGAACCAACAUCGAGAAAUUGUUAAAAAUUAAAAAAAAUUCAACACAACAAAAUCAGACAGCCAAGAAAUGAUGGAAAGACACAAAAACCCAAGUGAUAGAAACCUAGCGAUAGUAAAAUUUAUGAUUUUUGUUUAAUUGAACUAGACACAAAACACAAGAAAGAUAACACACAACCACAAAUUUUUUUUUUAGAUGAACAAUAAUGAUGAACAGUACAUGAACAGUGAUAGUGAACAGUAACAAUUUUUUUUGACACAAAAAUUGAAUUAAAAUUCAAAUGAGUGAUACAAAACACAAAGCAAAAAAGGAAUAUAACUUGGAUACUGUCAACCAAUUCUAUUGCCAGCUGAUACAAACCCAACCACAAAUUGGAAGAAUUUAUAUCCCACAAGCCCGGAUCUAGACAAUGUAUCAAAGUUUGAUGAAUUGAGCAGAAACCGAAACCCUAUAAACCCCUAUGUUAUGAACUAAAAUGAGAUCUUAACCCACAACAAUUGAUAGAUAAAACUUAGGUUGUUUGGUAGAAGGCGCUACAAAUAAGUGGGAUUCUUGUUUGAUAAGCCAAGCAAAUAUCUAGAACAAAUUCUAAGAUAUUCAAAGAUUGCUUCAAGAAGCUUAGAGAAACUCUUUCAAUUGUUGGAAAAUUCUACUUCUUGAUUGAUUAAAAACAUUGCAAGUUAGGGUUAUAAAUAGCCUUAUAAGACAUGAAAAACCUAAUCCAAUUUGGAAAUAAUACAAGUUUCCUAAUUCAACUAACAAGACACAAUUUCCUAAAACCUAAUUUGGCUCAUACAUGCUCAUACUUGGCUGAUUAUUUCACUAACUACUAAUGACUAAAUUAUCAAUAAAAACACUUUAAAUAACACAACAAUUCAAGACUUAAACACCAACAUAAGUCAAUGUGAAGUCGGUUUAACUAUAGUUGGCUUCAUUCAACUCUUCCACCACUUGAAUGAGAUGAACAAGUUUCCAAUUUGCAUUCUCAAGUCCCUCAAUAUGUUUUGGGACAAUUUCUUGACUUUGAAUUAUGGGAACCAGAAGUCUUCACGCAUGUUAGGAGUGCCUGUGUCUAACUCUAUUUUCAACUUGAAGCAAAUUAAUACUUGAAUUAGGAUUUUGAUGGAAUUUAUCGGACACUCGACCCCUCCAAUGCUUCGAUAAACUCCAACUUGAUCUUGAAUCACAUGUACCAAAAUCCAAGUGACUCUCUUAGCUUUCCUACUCAUAUCAGUUGCCCCCAUGGAACGUGGAAUAGAAGCACACUACAUGACAUGAUCAUAUUCAUAGAAAAUUAUUGUUAAUCAUAUAACAUAUCCAUCAUGUCAUUUCAUUUCAUAAAACAUAACUCAUAAACAAGUAUAUGCAAUAUAUGGCUUUCGGGUACUCAGUCUAGAGAUUAAACCCCUUCUAGGAGUGUGACCACAAAACAUAACAUAAGUCAAUUGACUAGGCACAAUGGCUACCAUGACUGCCAAUCAAUUGGGCAUAACAGCUACCAUGAUAAUGUAACAUAAUAGGACUAUAAUCCCCGCCACCUAUUUUAUGGCCGUUUAGAGUUUUUCGUAACAUAAAUUCAUUUCACACAUCACAUGCAUUUUUCUUUCAUUUCAUGAAAAUAUGCUCCUCAUUUCACAUUUCAUAGCAUAACAAAAUAGUUCAAAUAGGCUUAAAUGAUCCGUUUUACACAUAGCAAGGUAUGAUUUUGAUGUGAGAAAAUUCAUAUUUAAUAUUUUAGAAAAACAUAGAGGGGUAAGCACCGCCACCUCAAACUAUUUAAUUGAAGAGAUUCUAAACGUGCCCUUGAACUUGUCUUCGACCUAUAACUAGUGUUAUAUACAUUGUGAUGGCCCCACUUUCUCCUAGAGCAUACCCUAGAAGUUAGCGAACCACCCACCUGGCUCUCACCAGGACUCAUUCACUAAUAUUAAUUUCAGAGAUAACAAUUCUCAUUAAUCAUCCAAACAUCCAUUCUUAAUACUUCUUAGUAAGACAAAAGCUUUAUCCACUACAAAUUAUAAAGGUGAAUCGUCCAAACGUUCAUUCUUAAGUACAUCACUUAAGUAUAUCACCAACUAGUGUGAAAUAUAAAUCUAUCCGUUAAGAGAUACAAAAUGCAGGUCUUAACAGCAAUAUAUAACAUUAGACCUCCCAAAACAGUCUAACUCUACUUGAUCAUCCUUCAAACUUCAACCCCUGUAAGGAAAACAAAGCUAAAGGGUUGAGCUAAAGGUCAGUGAGGUUCCACACAAGCAACAAUCAAUUAAACACUUAAACAAGUAGCAAAAUUAAACAAUUAAGGAAACACUUCACUGAAUGAAUUAGAGAACACUUCACUGAACAAUCACUUUUAAAAGGAUACGGUGCUCGCAUUAGAGUCACUUCAAUGCACUACACACUCCACCGAACUCCUCCUUAUAACCUCCAAAACAGUAAACACUUCCCUCACUUAGAUGGCCAUAUCAAUAUCAGUAAUCUGCUACUCCGUGAUAGUACUUGAGCAUACCAAUACACUUACCCGAAGCUACUGUCCUAUCUGACCAAGCCUUUUUGCUGGCUCGAAUAGUCUGUUGAACAAAGGGUUUUAGGACCCAGUUCAGCCGGUGUGGUAAAGUACACACACACGGCUUAUAGUCAUGCACACUUACAAUAACAUUUAGCCAAUUAUCAACCUUCAACCUUAACUAAGCCAAGUACGAUAAAGUACACCCUCGACUUAGAAGGCGAGGGACAAUUGAGAUACACUUUACAAUGAAUCACUUAACAAUAUUUCAUAAUAAACACAUUUAUCACAUAAUUCCACGUAAGUAAACAUAAAUAGUUAAACACAAAAAUUUGGAAACACUCACCAAGUUUUCAAAUAAAUCACUCUUAAACUUUGAGUUUGUUUCUUGGCUCACUGCUACUUCCUGACACAAGUUUAUAAUUCUAAAGUAAGUAGACAAUUUGUAAAGGUUCGCUUAUCAUUUAUUAUCCUAUUAUUUGAACUAUUAAAAUCAAGUUUGACUUUAAGAUACAAUUCAUAUAUUAUCACUUAUCAUUUGUUACUUUAUGAUUUAAACUACUAAGUCAAGUUGAGCUUUAUAAAACAAAUCAUUUGUUACUUUAUCAUUUGUUACUUUAUAAAACAAGAUAUAACAAAUCCAACACCUAUCUCACAUUUCACCUCAAAACUUAUCAACUUUAUCAAUUUUAAACUAAAGAAAUAUAUAUAUAUAUAUAUUCCAAGUUUAAAGUCUUGUAAGAUGUUUAGACUAAGAUUAAUUCAUUUUCUAUCCAAUAUUCAAGGAUUAAGGGAAAUGAACUCUUCAUUUGUUCCAUUUAAGCUAAACCAGAUUCUAAGUUGUUUGUAGUUUGGGUUUUGUUCCACUACACCAGCCCCUCAAGUUUUUAGUUCUGUAAAAUGUUCAUGAAGACAAGGUUAAGAGGUUAUAAGCUGUUUUAUGUAUAUAAUUACAACAUGUUAUCUUAGAAUUUCCGAAAACAUCAUGGAAGACUUAACUCAUCACUGUUUUGGCCAGCAAGUAAAAUUUCCAGCAAUAUCAUUUCAAAAUGUUCAACAAAGCUCCACUGUUUACUUGCUUAAAACACUAAUCUCUUAGUAUACAUUCUGUCCAACAUAAAUCAAGGCAAAUAACACUUAAUUCCAGUAAAUGGAUCAGCCAAGAAAUCAUAUAUAUACUAAUCUGUAAUCAGCUAAGCGUAACAAUCAUCAAUUGGCAAUUCAACAUACGGCUGCUUCCUUAAUUUCUUCUAUGUUAACUCCAACUUAACAUGCAAAACAUGACUAUCAAGCUACAAAGUAGCCUUAAACAGAGCAUAUAAAAGUUCACAACUAAAAUUCGAAGGAAGAUUGAUUAAAUGUUCAUUUUUGUAUCUCGGCCUUCCUAACAGGUUCCAUCAGCUUUUAAUCAAGAAUUUUCCCAUUAGUCUCUUCAUUAUGCACUCAAAUCUAACAAGCAUGAUAAGAUGGAAAUGUUAUACAAUGAAUUAAACCUCAAUGUAGAAGUUUAGAACCAGAAUCCAUGAAGAACCUAGGAUAAUUUCUUAUUCUUUCCUUCGGCCAAGCCUAUCUGCAUUAGACUGAACUCAUCUGUCCUUCAAUGUUCACUUUAGUUUAUACUCAUUUCUGUCUUGCUUGAUGAAGUUAAGAUGCUUUAUGACACAUCACAUCUUAAUACAAAUGUUUAAAGGUCAAAUUUGCCGAAGACAGCUAGUGUUUCUUAGCUCCAUUUCCCUCGUGUGAAACUAACAGAUUUUCAUCGGGUUUCUUUCAAUAAUUUCAGCUUAAAGUUCCAACUUUUCACAAGUGUCUACAGCUAACCUUUUUUUAAUACUUAAAGUAGACAUAAUUCAUACAUUUCCUAUCUAUAGCUUCCAUCUUUCUCUGAAAACAAGCUGCUCAACUAGUACAUGUCUCUGUGACGACCCCACCUCCCUCUAGGGUGUAUCCCAGAGUUUAGCAGACCAUCUGCCCAACUCUCGUCAGGACUCGCUCACUUACAUCAAAUAAAAUAGUUCACAACCUCAAGCGUAAAUGGAAUAACAGUUCCCAAGUUUGGAAUGUACAUGUACAUUCAUUUCUAUUCCAAACAUUCAUACAAUCCCAAAUAUAACAAAAGAUAUGAAUUCCAGAUAAAUUCAAUCUUAACUGAGCACUAGCGCGAGUACAAUCGUAAAAAUUCAAAAACUAGACUAUGCUAGCCUGUACCAGUCUCACGCCCUCGCUCGUACCCCCUAUAAGGAAAACAAAUCUAAUAGAGUGAACUAAAUCUCAGUGAGGUUCCAAAACAUCAUGCAAAUCCAAAUAGCAAUUUGAUCAUGAUUUAAAAAUAUAAGUAUCAAAAUAGCGAGUAUAUGAAGUCAAAAAAAUAAGCAAUAACACUUCGUAAAGCCAAUCACUGGAUAUUUAACAUGUCAAGUAAAAGGAUACAACCCCUAUUACAAAAUAGCUCCGCCAUAGCUUGAUCAAAGAUAGUUGACACUCCAUCAACUUUCAAGUAAAGUAAUCAGUCCGCAGUGCCCCACUUAACGCCAAUCUCCGUCUACCAUUCAACCUCCUUACCGGGCCCGAACGCCAAGAUAAACAUGUGUGAUAAUACUUGAGCAUACCGAUUAGUCGAGAAGAUAACACUCCACUCGACAAAACAAAAGACCCACGGUUCGUUACCUAACCGACCAAACCCUUGCCAGUUCGAUUCAAGUAACUAGCCACAGGGUUUCUAGAAUUCCAAAGAGUGCUCACGUCAUACAAAAGUAUAUCAAGUCAAUUGUAACGAAUGAACAAGUAUAUAUCACAUUAGGCAAGUGUGAUAAAGUACACCCUUACCCGAUCAAACCAAGCAAAUAUUAUCCGAUCACAUUGGUAAAGAAUUUAAAUCAAGUAUCAAGUUUAAUCAUGUAUUUGGAAGCACUCACAAAAGACUUAGUGCUUUUCAAGUUUACGCUCAAGUGCAAGUCCUUGGUUGGAGUCCAAAUCUGCGAUAAAAUAUUAUUUAAGAGUUUGAAAUCAACUAGGGUUCAAAGCAUAGGAGUUUCGCUUAAAGAAAAUCAAUUAAAUGAAACUCGUUUAAGUAGUAUUUAUUUUGCUUAUCACACCCUAGAAAACUCAUGCUCGCUCUUUUAGUUUUGGUAAGGAAGCGAUUAAAACUUUUAAAUUCGCAAAGUGGUCUAAAAGACGAGGAAAACAUAUUUCGAGUGAUCGCUAUUUUCGCCUUUUAAAAGGUAUGAGUUUUGGCCAAAUUUCAGCUUAUAUACCUCGACUAACGGAAACUUGAACACCAAAGACAAUCUAAGUUCACUUCGAUCUCAAAUCGUCGUUCAAGUUUCAAGUUCACUCGCUUAUCUUUCGACUUAAAAUUUGGGCAGCAUUUUCCCUAUUUUCUUACUUUUUCCAUCCAAGUAUAACUUGGAUUCUGGAGAAAACUGUGUCAAAAACUCCUCAAGAGAAUGGAGUAGCAGAUAGGAUGAAUAGAUCCAUUACUGAGCGGGUCAGAUGCAUGCUCUCUAAUGCUAAAUUGUCAAAAUCCUUUUGGGGUGAAGCAAUGAGGACUGCAAUCGAUUUGAUUAAUCUUUCUCUAUCAGUUCCUCUAGAUGGUGACAUCCCAGAGAUAGUAGGGACGGAAAAAGAUGUAUCUUUUAAGCACUUGAGAGUUUUUGGUUGUUGGGCAUUUGUUCAUAUUUCCAAAGAUGAGAGGUCAAAAUUUGAUGUAAAAUCAAAGUAGUGUAUUUUCUUGGGUUAUGGACAUGAAGAUUUUGGUUAUAGGUUGUAUGAUCCUAUUGAUAAGAAGGCGAUCAGGAGCAGAGAUGUUGUCUUCUUUGAAGAUCAAACCAUUGAAGACAUUGGAAAAGGUGACAACCCAAAAUUCUCAGAUGAUAUUCCUACUAGUUCAAAUCCAGAUCCAGAUCGAGUUCUAGUACCUGUUGAUUUUAAUCAAGGGGGAGCUAAGACAAAGCAGAGAGAGGAUGUUGAUGAUGGUGAUAAUCUUGCUACUGAUGAACUUGAGCAUGAGGUGCCACCUACUCCAUUACCACCACCACGAGAUGAGUUUAAGAGAUUUACCAGAGAGAGGAGACCUUCUAACAGAUAUAAUUCUCAUGAAUAUGUGUUGUUAACAGAUGGAGGAGAGCCAAAGCCCUACUGUGAUGCUCUAGAGCAUGAGAACAAAGAAGAUUGGUUGCGAGCCAUGCAAGAGAAAAUGGUGUCUCUGCAUAAGAAUCACACUUAUGACUUAGUGAAACUGCCUAAAGGUAAGAGAGUUUUAAAGAACAAAUAGGUUUAUAGAUUGAAGACUCAGAAGCACAGCUCAUAACCAAAGUACAAAGCAAGAUUGGUUGUGAAGAGAUUUAACCAAAAGAAAGGUAUAGACUUUGAAGAAAUUUUCUCUCCCGUGGUAAAGAUGUCGUCAAUUCAAGUUGUUUUGAAUAUUGCAGCCAGUUUAAAUUUAGAGGUCGAACAACUUGAUGUGAAGACAGCCUUCCUGCAUGGUAACUUGGAAGAGGAGAUCUACAUGUGGCAAUCGGAGGGGUUCAAAGAAAUUGGUAAGGAAAAUCUUGUAUGUCGUCUCAAGAAGAGUUUAUAUGGGUUGAAACAGGCACCGAGAUAGUGGUACAAGAAAUUUGACCCCUUCAUGAUAGACCACGAGUACCACAAGACUACAUUUGAUCACUGUGUUUACGUGAAAAAUUUUUCAGAUGGUGAUUUUAUUAUUCUCUUGUUGUAUAUUGAUGACACAUUGAUUGUUGGCCGUAAUACUAUGAAAAUUGACAGAUUGAAAAAAGAGUUGAGUAAAUCUUUUACAAUGAAAAAUUUGGGUCCAACUAGACAGAUACUGGGGAUGAAAAUCUCACGAGACAGGCAAAAUGGAAAGCUUUGGUUGUCUCAAGAAAAGUAUAUUGAAAAGGUGCUUGACAGGUUUAAUAUGAGCAAAACUAAGGAAUGUUCUUUAUGCGUCGGCUGUUGGUAGUUUGAUGUAUGCCAUGAUUUGCAUCAGGCUAGAUAUUGCUCAUGCAGUUGGAGUAGUUAGUCGGUAUCUCUCCAAUCCUAGCAAGGAACAUUGGAAUGCUGUCAAAUGGAUUCUCAGGUAACUCAAAGGAACUUCCAAAUUGUGUUUGUGUUUCAGUAAUGGUAAAUCUAUAAUAGAUGGGUGCACUGAUGUAGAUAUAGUAGAUGAUCUUGAUAAUAGGAAAUCCACAUCUAGAUACUUGAUGAUUUUUGCAGGGGAAGCAGUGUCAUGGCAAAGUAAAUUACAAAAGUGCAUUGCCCUUUCCAGUACAGAGGCAGAGUAUAUCACAACCACUGAAGCAUGCAAGGAGAUUCUUUGGUUGCAGAAAUUCCUUCAAAAUUUGGGUAUGAAGCAAGAGAAGUAUAGUCUUUACUGUAACAGUUAGAGUGCCAUUCAUUUGUGUUAAAAUUCUACAUUUUACUCUCGGUCCAAACACAUUGAUGUGAGAUAUCAUUGGAUUUGGAAAGUACUGAAUUCCAAAUUAUUAAUACUUGAGAAAGUUCACAUUAAUGACAAUGGUGCUGAUAUACUGACCAAGGCGUUGCCUAAGGAGAAACUCCUAUUUUGCAGACAGGAAGCAGGUUUGACUAUACCCCCCAAAUGAGCUGGAGGGGGAGAUUGUUGGACUUGUGUGGGCCAACCCAUAUGUGGGCCAACCAAACACACAAGUGAACAAAACUUGAGGGUUUUUCAAGUAUAAAUACAAGCAGCAGCCGCGAGAGAAGUUUUCUUCUUUGGUGUGAAAAAAAGCUACAGUCGCCACUUUUCUUGUUUUUGAGAAAAACAAAGAGAGAGAAAGAGCUAGAGAGAGAGAGAGAAACUUCAAGGUCUUGAUUGGAGGGUGAUUCAAAUCCCGAUUGAGACGAAAUUUUACCCACGUGAUCCUCUCAUCAGGCUCUACUUAUCUAUUAGUUCAGAUUUUGGAUUUUCUCUCCAUUUGAUAACACCUUUCCAAACCUACUUCUUUGACAAUUAUAGUUUUUGGGGGUGAUUGUGCAGUAAUUUCGCUUGGUUGAUAUUGGUGAUACUAUUGUCAUCCGAAUAUUUCGGAUAGACCUGUGUAUUUUUAUUAUUAUAAUAAUAGAGAUUUUUUACUAGACUAAGUCCCGUGAUUUUUUCAAAUUUGGAUUUUCCACGUAAAAAAUCUUGGUGUUCUGUGCCUUUUAUUUUCUUGCAUUUUAUUAUCACUGCUGGCAUUAUUACUUGGUAAUUUGAUUUAUUCCUAUUUUAACUAGUACUUGGGAAAAAAGUAAUUUAUCUUGGGUUAACUCUAAUAUUGUGUGCCUGCACCGGUAUCCCUUUCCCAACAGACAUCACCGAUUAAAAAUGUGUUAUCAUGCCCAAAUCACACGACUGCAUAAUGAAAUGCAUGCAUUUCGUUAUGCAAAGCAUAUCAAAUUGCUUGGAUCUCAAACUCAAAAUGACAACUAAUGAGCCCACAAGGAAACUUUAAAUGAAUAUGUAUGCAACAAAGAUCAUGACUAAAUUGCUUAAAGAGAGUAUGAAACUAAAUCUCAAAAGUAUGCAUCGUUUAGUAAACUUACUCAAAUAUCCAAACUCCUUUCUUUUUUAUUUUAUUAAUAUGUUAAACAAAAGGCUUAGGAGAUAUACACAAUGUCCAAACCACGGUUAAAACCGUUAGUGUCUUAUUCAUUUGGGUUUGCAAAGAGCAUGUCCAUGAGAUACAUGCAAAAAAACUUUUAAUUUCCACAUCUAUUAUUGCAUAAUAUUGCUAAAAUCCUUUUCUUAAGUAUAAUAUCUUGGACCCUUCAAGUAGAGUGAAUAUUGCAUCAGGCACAACCAUCAAUAAUGCAUCACCAAGCAAACAGCUGAGAAACAACAAAAGUCCUAAUAAGAUCCCAUAUUUAAAAUAGAGAAAAUGAGUAAAGUAGAAAAGAAACCUAACUUACAUAGAAUGCAUAUUGGCUGGCCUUGAUUGGCUUCUUACAUGCAUUACAACAUACCUUCAGAACAAGCAACAAAAAUGAAUUAUGUAGCAUGAAUGAGAAUUCUGUACACAAGCAAUUAUGGCCAAUUAGAAUCAUUGGCAGGUUAAAGUCAUCAAAGGUCCGUUGAAUCUAUCGAGUAUCGAAUGCAAUAAAAAAAUGUAUUAAGAGUAAUUAUUUCACCAGUGGAAGCCAUAUAGAUGAAUAAUGACAACACUUUUUAGUAGUGAUUAAGAACAUAAGAUAUAAUUCAAUUAAAUUUCAAAUUCAAUAGAUGUGCUCAAAUAGUGGUUAGUGGUGAAACGCCACUUGAACCCAGAGCUAGCUGGUUGAAAAAAAAUGCAAUAUAACUGUUGUUAUGUUUUCUGAAAGGUUAGACUAUUUGAGCUUCACACAAACGUAUUUGCUAUUCUUGAACACCCAAUUUAACAUCCUAAGCCUUUCUCAUCAGGACUAAACAUUAUUAAAAGGAGUUUGAAGUAUCAAGAUGCUAGUGAUGAGAUAAUAUAAGCCAUUACAAAUUGAAUGCCACAAUCUCCAGAAUGCAGAAGAGUUUUAAUUUUUUGCACUUUGGGCAUGCAUAUAUUUUCAUUUUACAUUGAUAUGUAAAAGAUUAAGAUUUCUCCAAUGUAUAGACAAAACGCCCAAGGAUGCCAGAUAUCUUCGUACUUAGUACAUUAUCCACUAUUUUCAGUGUGAAUGUCAUCUAAUGUGUAAUAAAGGCAUUUGAAUACUUCCACCCCAACUCUACAAUAUUGUCAUAAGUAAUAAAACAUCAAGUUUGUGAAGUAGGCGUGAGAAGCAAGGCUGUGAACUAGCCUUUUAUGCCUUCUGAAUUUGUGCAUGCUCUAUCAAAGGAGCCAAUCGACCUUGAUGGCAAACUCUUCACUCAUAGAAACACUAUUAUGUACUAUAUAUAUGAGAAGCAAUCUAAAAUAGCAACUGAUGCAAGUCCAUAGGAAGAUCUGUUCUCCUUUCUCUAUUUGGUUUCUUUAAGUAAAGGAAUAUUCCAUGAGAAAAAAUUGGAGAAUUUUGCAAGGUAGAAAGUUUUCUUUCUUCUGUUUUCAAUUGGAGGUGGGGAAGAAGGAAUUAAAGGAAAUUUGGCCUAGUUACAACAUUUAACAAGUUAUCCUUAACACAAUCCUUCUUACAAUCCCAGUGCUACAAAAGAUGUUGUGCAACAAGUCAAAAGAGAAAGAUACAAAGCUUAUCAAAUGCAAUGGAUCUGUCAUCAGCCAUAAACCAAACAUGUGCAUAUCUACAAGACAAUCAUGAAGGCAAAUCUAGAAAAGAUAUUGGUUCUAAUCAAGCACUUGCAGCUCAUAAAUAUUGCAGAUGUAGACAUAAUUCACAAGCAGCUCUUCCAUUAUUGAUGGCCAUUCAUUACUAAAGUGAUACUUAGCCAAAUCUACAAAUAUGUCAUCUGAUUUUCUUUCCCAUAUCAAGAAGUCAUUAUUAUGAAGUGUAUGCGUAUAUUGAACAAUGCUAUUCAGUCAAAACAGAUAAAGAGCAAACUCUAAGACAUUUUUUUAUGGAUAUUUAUCUGUACACUAAUCAGUGUUAACUCUUUAUUCCUCUAAUUUUUGUCGCUUGGAUUGGGUCUAGUCAUGUUGCACCAGAUGGAAUCUAAAAAUCUUCUUUGUCAGUGGAGUACAUAAAGUCUUUCACAAGGGUUCAGGGUCUUAGAUUAAUCUCCUAUUAUCUACUCCAGAAUUUACAUAGAAAGUUCCUAUUUCUUUCUGAUUACCAAUUUCUUAUGAUAUCUGAUCAUUAUAAGUCUAGUAAUCACACCAAAGUGCGGCCAUUUCUUAAUAAAUAUCAUUCAAAAUUAGUACAGAUCACAAUUUGAUAAACCGAUUACUAUCUUAUUUUGAUGCGUAAUAGUAUUUGACAAAUGUUUUAUAUCAAUAAACCAAGAGAAACACUUAGCCAAAAAGUCAACAAUUUCAAUAUCUCUACCACAUAUGACUACAUAUAUUUAGAAAAAAAAAAAAAAAAAAAAAAGCAAAAACCAACCUGCAAAUGAAAAGGACCCUUAUCCAAAGCUCUUUCUCUUCCACCAAAAAGCUCAAUUUUAAAAAAGAAAAUAACAACAAAAUUGUUAGAAACUGUAUAUCUUUAUGCACUUGUUACUGAUUUGCUCUCAAUAUUAUGCGUGAAAAAAUCAAAUUUGAAAGAGUAAGGAAACUUUCUUACCAAACAAAAACAACUACUGGCAGAAAAAGGAGCUCUCUUCCAAACAGAAAUUCUUCAAACAAAAAAGUAAUAACUAUUACAUCGAUACUUCCCCUUUUUUUUCCUUUCCUAAACCUAAAAACCUAAAUAACUACCCUCUCUCUUUCUAUCACAUCAAAUCCCGAAAAAUAGAAUUUAAAAUGAUGGUUCUUGUGGAAGAACCAAAUCCAGUACGCAUGACGCAAAUUAGACAGCUGACCAUUUUCUGGGGAAAAAUCCCUGAAUUUCAGGCAAAAAGGAGAUGGCUAAUCUACGAGGAAUUUCAAGGAUUCCAUGUUUCCAGGUACAAUCGACAUGUGAGGAAGUCAUUUCUACUACAAGAACUUAAAAGUAUUCUCUAGUGUUCUCGGCAAAAGCAGAAGAGGAGAAAUUGGCUCCGUUUGUUUUUUGCAAUAGGGAAGAAGAAGCAAGAGCAUAUUGUGUUAAUUCCAUAUAAUUCAAUGGGCCAACACCGGACAACACACAAACAGUCCAUAAAUUCCUUUGGACAUCUUAGAAUAACAAAAGCUUGAAACCCAUCAAACAGAGCAAAAUUUCUUCUUCAAAAAAAUCAGCAUGUGUCAAGUAUCAAAUAAGCAGUAAACCAGUUGUCAAGAGGGGAAGUAACUACAGUAAAAAAAAACACUCUCUUUUUAUUAUACUUGAGGGAUAUAAGAAAAAAUUGCUGUUUGACCAAAAAAAAAUUAGAGAACAUAGGACAAGUUUGUGGAUCCGAGUAAAGUACCCAGUAACUUUGCCACACAACAUGAAUGCCUGACAUCUUCAUUUUAUUAUUGUUCAGGGUGUACCUGGUUGACCUCAAUCUUCAAGUCUCCAACAUUCGCUGAAAAUUUGAGUAAGAAAGGUUCAUCAAGACUCAACAAACAGAUGUCUGAACUGUCAGCGCUAUCGGGUGAAACCCAGCCAUUUCUUCUUUCUUGGCAGCAAAGAGAACCUCCAAGCGAAAGGCAAAUCACUCAAAACAGAUGGAAAACAUAAGCAACAACAUCUGCACUCACCAGUCAGAUUCCAUCGCAGCUACAUCCCAGAGUCAACUACCCUCUGCUUCAAGUCAAGAUUCAGACCCACUGACAAUCUCCAGCCUUCCACACGACCUCAUCUCUGAGAUCCUCUUAAGGCUGCCAAUGAAUUCCCUCAUGAAAUUCAAGUGCGUUUCAAAAUCAUGGCUUUCCUUAAUUAAAAGCCAGCGCUUCAUCAAAGCCCAUCUCAACUUCAUCAAUUCCUCAACAAACAGCCAAAGGGUGCUCAUUUUGAGGUGUGUUGACUGGAAUUAUUAUCUCAAACAUUGUUCUCUUAGCUCAUUAUUAUAUGCACCAGCUACUGAUACAGUUGACAUUGAUUAUCCCCCAUUUGAAGCACCCUUUAAUUUUGUUUCAGUUGUGGGGUGCUGUGAUGGAUUAAUUUGUAUUUCCGUUAGGGCAAGUAACAUAAUUUUGUGGAACCCAUCUACUCGAAAAUCCAAGAAAGUACCAGAUUUAGGCAUUAGGCUUGAAGAGGAUGAACGUUAUACAUCAUGGGACUUUGAGUAUUAUAUAUCAUGGGGUUUUGGAUAUGACGAGAUUAAUGAUGAUUACAAAGUGGCAGCGGUGGUGUGCGUUGUUGAUGACCAUGGUGAGCCCUCUGGGUCUGAGGUUAAGGUCUAUAGCACAAAGAGUGAAACUUGGAGGAGUAUAGGGGAUUUUCAAGGUGGUUAUCCUUUGGAGGAAUACGGUAGGUUUGUGAAUGGGAAGCUUCAUUGGUCACUGGAUAGAGAAGAUUGUGGAUAUAUUGGUUCUCUUGAUUUAGCAACAGGUAUGUAUGGACAGAUAAAGAAACCUAAAUGUGAUGAAGAUUCUGAGUCUGAGCUUGAGUCAACCUUGUAUGUUUUCCAAGGGUGCCUCUGUUUACUUUGUGAUGAGAAUGAUGAUCAUACGGAUGUUUGGAUUAUGAAGGAAUAUGGGGUUACAGAAUCGUGGACUAAGGUGUUCACUAUCCUGAUUAAUAAACCGAGCAGGAGUUCAGUUUUUACACCAUUGUGCCGAUCAGAGAAGGGUGAAGUUUUACUGUUACUUGGAUCCAAAUUGGUACUCUACAAUCCAGAGAAUGCUACAUGUGUUGAUAUUUCAUUUCGAGAUCAAGAGAUAAGAGCUUAUUAUGCAUUUGUUUACACAGAAAGCCUAGUUUCGCCUUGCUACUAAUGAUGCAACAGAGAAGCAACAGCAACAAGUAGGGGAAAGCAACCAACACAAGACAAUUGAAUACCAUCAAGCUACCAUCUCGAUUAAAAAAAAAAAAAAAUUGUCCUCCUUUUCCAAUUACCAAGAUGAACAAUUGAAUACCAUCAAGCUACCAUCUUGUUAAAAACUAAAAAAAAAUGUCCUCCUUUUCCAAUUGAUGAAAUUGUUGUUGUCCGGACAACUUGAUUGUGCAUUUUGUGGCACUCGACUACAUAUAGUACAUUUUAAUUCUUGCAGCAUUUUCUUUCUUUAACACAUUUGAUAAUUGAUGAUGUUACAGUCAGCAGCUCGAAUUGCAUUAGUUUUUGUGUGUUUAUUCAUUUUCUUAUUUAUUUUAUGUAAUCUCUAUAUCUUUAUUGAUAGGCAAAAUCACAUACACCAGAUAAGGUGCAUAUCGAACGCUCAAAUUCUCUGAACAAGCAUGAAAUAAAGAAUCAGUAUCCAUACAAGAAAGCAUGUAAAUAGUGGGGCUAAUUCAGUAGUACAUUUAGCAACAGGAGGCUGCUGUAAUUUGUUUCGAUCUCGUUCCCUUGCCAAGCUUAGAUUAAAAUGGCAAUAUAUGCCAACAGAAACUUAGGGACUGAUCUCUCUUCUGGCUUCAUGUUCACUUUUGUACGAUGUUAAAAUUGCAUACAUUCGAAUGGUUCUUCUGUGAUAGUUACUUCAUGAUGCAAAAGUGUAACUUAGGUCCAAAUCACUAUAACUUUGUUGAUACUAUGACGUCCAUAGUAGAAGGAAGGACUUUCUAGAAGGAGAAAGCCUGUAAUUCCCUAGAACUACUAGCUUUUUAGACCUCAAGCAAUUUGUUGUUCAAGAAAACAGGUAAACUUCUAACUAGAACAAGAAAAAGAGACACAAGGACCGUUAAAGCUUAAAGCUCCUUGCCUGGUUGCUGUGAACUCUAGCCAAAGCAGACCUCGCCAUGGCAGGAAAAAGAAACCCAACUUGGAGGCUCAAAUCCUAGACUCAACCUGCUAUAAUCAAACAAACCCAACUUGGAGACUCAAAUCCUAGACGCUUGAGUUUCCUUCGUUUCCACCCAAAAUUUGAACAUUUCCAAGUUUCAGAGCUUCGCUGUAAAACUCAUCACUUGAUUGCUCCAAAGACUCCAAGUAAAGUCUCACUAAGUUAUAGCGUGUCUAAAAAAACCGCUUUCAUUAUUAUCAAGUUCAUAAUUCAUGAAAUUCCGCAUCAAAAUAUCCCUAGAUAAGCAUGAUUGCGCCCAUCUUAGGCUCAUGUUUAGCAAUUGCAGUCCAAGUGUUUGUUUUAAGGACUGUAGUAGUCUCCAGUCUUUACCAACUGAACCGUUCACCAAUUUAAUUGACACAAAGUUCUCGUCUUUUUGCUUGUGUUAUUGUAUUGGGUUGAUUUUUGUUCUGGAAUAGGGAUGAUUUAUACCUUUGGGACCUGUGAUUUUUGAAAAUAAUAGUUAGGAUUCUUGUGCACUAGCUUUUGGUAAGUUUGCUAGGUGAGACGCAAAGGUGGCUAAUUUUGGGACGAGGGUAAAGUGGUUUACAAGAGGGGUUCGGUUGUACUGCUCAGCCAAUGUUUGCUUUAAUUUGGUGCUACGUACAUUGGUGUCAGGAAAGAUACUUAUGGAGAGUUCAUGCUACCUAAUUAUGAAAAGGAGGAUGGUAGCUGUGUUUCAGCAUAGGAGUGUUGGGAGUAACUCGCUGCCUGCUUUAGAUAAUUAUACAAGAAGUCAGAUACAUUGUUGAUUGAGUAUAAGAUGAAAUAUUAUGGAAUGAAGUAAUUGUUGUGCGCUAUGAAAUGGUUCUGGUGUUGAAUGUUGGAUCCCAGCAUUUUGCCUUUUAGAUUAUGGUGAAGCAUGUUUUAUCCAUUUAUAAUCCAGAUGAUGGAUCAUUCAGGUUUCUGAGAUAACAAAUUAUUGAUGUGUUAGGCGGCAUAUUUGUAUUGAAAGCCUAGUUUCCUUUGCGGCUGAUUAUGGAACAGAGGAUUAAUUUACCAAUGACUGGGUAAGAGAACUACAUUAACGUAAGUGAUUCCUGUGGCUUGCCCACACAUACAACUUUGCUUCCUCUGUUGCAUCAAAAGUGCCCUAUAACAUCAAAUAUUUCUUUUCGGUCAUGAGGUAUCAACUUUUUCACCUAAGAAUAUCUAACUCCAAUAUGACAUGAACAUUUGCACUAUUAUUCCAAAAAUUCUCAGCAUAGCUUUCUAGGAAUUCUGUUGUCAGGAAGGCGAUUAGUUGGAAUCAGUAUAUAUAUCAUCUGCUUAUGUAUAAUUGUAUCUGAACUACAAUUUCUUUGUGCUCUACACUAUUCAGUUUAAUGUUUGGGUAUCAAUUAUUAACUAACCCCAGGAUUGGGCUGCAUCAGACUUUGCAUAUAUUCUAUGUCUGUUGUUUGGCACGCGUUUGACCUUCUUGGGACUUAAUCGCAGAAAGUGAUUACCUUCUUGUCAAAUUCCUAGUUAAUUGAUUGGCAGGCAUGUUUCAAAAACUUUGCUAAUUGCUAAGAGGCUUGUAUGUCAAUGGAUUAAAAAGGAAACAGCAUUCAAGAGUAUUGAAUUGAAGUGGUGCUCAUUUUGAUAAUUCCUUCAUUGUUCAUUGAGUCACAUUUGAAUUUUCUUUUCUUCCUUGACCUGCAUUUUUAGGGGGGAGUAGGGUGGUGUUAAUGGGUACUUUUAUGCCUUUGCAGUAUUGGAUUGAAUUGCUGCUCAUUUUGAAGAUUCCUUCAUUGUUCAUUGAGUCGCAUUUGUAUUUUCUUUCCUUCCUUGUCCUGCGUUUUUUGGGGAGGAGUAGGGUGCUGUUAAUGGGUACUGCUUUGCCUUGAUUCUCUGUUAAUAUGAAAAUAGAAGGGAACAUAACGCUCUCAUUAUACUGAUAGCACGAUUCAUUUCCUUACGUAAAGUCAAUCAUCGAAUAUUGAGAGAGAGAGCCAUAAACAAUUUACCAAGAAAAGGACGUCCAAGCAUCCUGGAAGACCCUGAAAUGUAUUUGCACAAAGUUUAUCACAUGUUCUGCCUGUGGAUUCAAGUCUGGAACUUCUUUUUGCUGAAGUAGUUGCCUUUCCAGUUGGUAAACAAUCUGCUGUAGACCAGAACCGAAACACUAGAUAAAGUUUAUUAAAGGAAACACAUCUUCAUACUUGCGGAACAUUGAUGAGUAAUAAGCCAAGGAGAACACUAACUGUACAGCGCAUGGGAUAAGUAUUGGUCUAUAGUGGGUACUGUGGCCUUGAUUUGUAUCUACCAUCUUCUGCCUACCAUCUUUUGCUUGACUAAUGAUGUUCCACUUAUCAUGAGAAUGGUUUAUACAAUACCUAAUACCUAAUCCUAAUCCUGGUGGGGAAUUGAAGAACGCUAAUCUGCUGACUAAGUCCUUUUAGGGGUAAAUUGAGUUAUGGUACUUCAGGUGCAAGCAUGCUUUACAGAAUGCCAAAUGAGAGAGGUGUAACGAAACAGGAAAAAGAAAGAGAUAAAACUCACGAGGGAUUGAUAUGAAAACAGGAGGAAGAAAGGGCUCAUAAAGGACUGCAAUAAGCCACGCGUUCCUGCAUCAAAUAGGCUAUUUAGUGUUUCCAUUUUGAGAAUCAAAUUGAUGGACAGAAAAAUUUAAAUACAAGAUUUUGAAGGAAAUGAAUGUAAAGAAUUUGAAGCACAUAAUGUGACUUCUGAAUGUAUUGACUUCUCAAAGAUUCAGAGCAUUGGCCGAAUGUAUAAUCAAUUUCAUUACUCUAAUAUCAGAUAGUUCUCUUUCGGUGGAUUGAGUAACAAUUCUGGUUCAUGGCUGCAAUUUCUGGAUAUUUUGCUAUUUGACUUUGAAUUUCUUCUGUUAAGCAUUAGCAUCAGCUGUAUUUCUAUCUACAAAACAAAAAAAAAAUGGAACAUAGUAGACUUGAAAUAUUAACAGUUAGAAUAAGUCUUACAGGAAACUAGUCCAAAUUCAUUGAGACGUGAUUUUGAAGCUGGCAUACCAUGCUUGCUUGUCAUCUUGCACCACCAUGGAGAUCAUGGCGGUUUUACAAAUUUAUGCUAGAGGCAUGAACGAAUGUCUCUAUACUGGAAUCAAUCUUCUCAUUUCUGUUGGAAGCAUCCGGAAAACUUGUAUUACAUUAAACAUGAAAUACUUAAAGGCUGCCUCCAGAAAGCUAAUUAUCUGAACUUCCCUAUCUUUUGUAUGCAAGAAGGCGGUGGGUGCUAGAACUAGCAGCAGACCCUACUCUAUCAGAUUUUUGUAGCGAGCAGAGGCUUACUUGACGGUAUUAAUUUACCAGAUGCCAUGAGGCGGUGCUGAGAUCAUAAAGUUUGGUUGGCUUGAUAGCAAAAUUAUUGCAUUUGCUGGGUUAAUACAUAUGUGAAAAAGUGUGAGCCUGAGAAGUUGCAUCCCGGUAAAAAGAAUUCAGCAUUUUAUCUGUUAAUGACGUGAAUUUAUUGUGUACACGAGUAAUACAAUGUCUAAGAAAUCUAUUUUCCAAAAACAUGACUCUGUAAGUUGUUUCCAUUUAUAUCUUGCACAGGACCAGGGACCUCCCCCCAACACCUAACGGAUUUCCAAACUUGUAAAUCAAAUUUUUUUGGAGCAUGACAUGAAAUGCUAUGAUCAACACUAAGUUGAUGGAUUUUGUUGAAAUAAGAGCAUCUUAUUCUGUCCUCAACCAGACAAGUGAACAUAAUAUAGGAUCUUGAAAGUUUAAAACCAAUAAUUGAGGUGGCUUAGGAAAAAAUAUGAAGUCAACUAAAGUCAAUUGCAUAUCAUAGACAAGGAGCUGAAGCGAUAAACAACCACGUAAUAUUGGUUUCUGAGAUAACAUCCAAUACUCACCAAGAGCUCGAGCAAUCCUCAUCUGGCCUGCUGCUAUUGAUUGCCUUCGACUUCUUCAAGGUAAGAUGAAUAACGAAGAAAACCUUGAAGAUCAAACUUCAAACGCUACCACGGACAGCCAGAUUGCUAGAUCACAAGAUUCAGACCAAUCCAUCCUCCCAAACCUCCCCUUUGAACUCAUCACUGAGAUCCUCCUAAGGCUACCAGUCAAGUCUCUCCUGAAAUUCAGGUGUGUUUCGAAAUCUUGGCUUUCUUUGACCUUUAGCUCACGAUUCAUCAAAGCCCACCUCAAGUUGUCUGAUGAUGAUAAGGAAUACACUCAUCACAAGGUCAUUUUACUUGAUUUAUCACAUACUAUUGUCAAGUCUUGUUCUCUUCAAUCUUUUCUUGAUACACCACCGGCUGAUCUUGCAACUAAUGUUUCACUCCCAGAGGAAUUAGUCAAGCAUUCAUUUUGUAUGGUGGGCUCUUGUGAUGGAUUGAUUUGCCUUGAGGUUAGGUAUGAUUUGUACUUGUGGAACCCUUGUACAAGAAAGUGCAAGAAAUUGCCUGGGCCUACUUUUGAAAGGAGACCUGGAUGGUUUUAUUGUGUCUACGGGUUUGGAUAUGACAAGUCUAGUGAUGAUUAUAAAGUAGUAGCCAUCUUAGCAGAGAGAUCAAAACUGGAUGGUGUAUACCGUGUCACGCAAGUGAGGAUUUACAGUAUAAGCACUGAUUCCUGGAGGAGUAUCGAAAAUUUUAGGGAAGGAGUAGAAUUGGACAAACCAGGAAAGCUUUUUAAUGGGAAGCUGCACUGGGCGAUACGUCUUUGUGUUGUUUCAAUUAAUUUAGAAAAUGAGAUGUGUGAGGAGUUUGAGCUGCCUUAUUACGGAGAACAUGGAAUUGAUCUAGCAUUAGGGGAAUUCGAAGGAAAAUUUGCUGUGCUCUGUCAUCAUUACCCUACUGUUGAUGUGUGGGUUAUGAAGGAGUAUGGAGUUAAAGAGUCUUGGACCAAGAUCUUUAAUGUCGAAGAUGGAGAUAAUCUUUGGCAUAAUUUUUAUUCCCCACCACUAUUUUUUCAAAAGAAAAAUGGUGAAGUUGUUGUCUUACAUGGAUCGAUUCUGAUGGUAUAUGCUGACAAUAACCCUCAACUUAAAAGAUUCGAUGGAUAUGCUGAAGCAAAUAUCUAUGUUGAAAGCUUGGUUCAACCGUGGCUUAUAAGAGGAUAUAGCAGUGACAGUGGUCAAAGAGGCUAAUUGAACUAUUGAAGUAACUGCUUUAAGCAAUCUUAAUAUGCAAGUAAUCACUGUAAGGAUCAUUCCCACAGAACUACUUGUUUGUUCAACUCCAUAAAUUCAUCUUAGCAAUCUGAUAGAUAAUGCUUCUUGUCCUGAUCAGCUUCUUCUUCUGGUAGUUUUUGGUUGACUUGGCAAGUACAUCCUAUCUUGUUGCAAAUUUCUUUCUUGGUUGUCUUAUGUUUACAGGCUAAUUUGAGCUAUAAUUUGGGGCAUUCAUCGCAACGCAUAGAUCCGACUUGAUGCUCCUCUGUUGCUUGUGUUGUUACUCCCUGAUGUAAUACGCUACAUCGGAGUUAAGAAUAAAGUUGCUAGUGGUUAACAAUCAGGUCAACAAUGUCCCAAGAAGAUGGUUAAAGUUCACCUCUGAUGCACCUGUGCUGCUGUCUCACACAUGGUCUUUUGGGGUAUGCUGAAUGCAGCAUGUCCAACUCAAUCUGCACCUUGUACCUGAUGAUUUCUGUUGGUCACUUGGAGAAGGUGAUCAGAGUUUUAUUGUAUUGAGUUAGAUAAUUUUGCAAUGCAGAAGAAAAUGAAAUCCCACUUGAGUCAUUGUUUCAGUCCCUCAAAGUCUCAACUCUAUGAUCUUGUAGCUUGAUAAUCUGCUGGUCCAUGUGAAGUUCCUAAUACAGAACCCAUAAUAAUGCUUCCAAAUUGUUGCUGCAGAUUCUUGUGGAGAUUCCUGUCUCCAGCUUAAACAUUUGUAGUACAUUAUGGUAUCGAAACCAUUGGGAAUCAAAGAUUUUAGUUUGAAGAUUGGUAAUUGACAGGAAGAUACUUCAUUGUAUCUAUUUUAUGGUUUGCACAUUAUUGAUAUCUUAAAUCAGAAUUCUCUUUUUUUUUUAUCAAUGAACAAUUAUUAAUCUUUGAUUUAUCACAAAUUGAUUUCCGUUUUUUGCAUAAUUUGCUAAAGGUUAGGGGAAGGGAAUAAUGAGGUUAAAAUGUUCCACAAGCUCAUUGAAAUGUUCAAUUCACCACAUAGGCUAAAGUAGUUAAACAAUUACAACCCUGAUUUGUUAAUAGAAAUGAGAAAUGAUUCACUAGAAGAAAUUCAUUGCUGUGAUCUACUUUUUAAUGUGGCUUUGAUUCUUAAAUUAAUUAAGAAAUUGGCCAGGAUGUAGGCCAGAAUAGUACCAUAGAAUUUAACUAUGAAUUUUAAAAUUCAACUUAAGAAGUAAUUAAAUGCUUUGAACAGAUAAAAUUAUGCUUACUCUUUUUUAUUUUUCAAAUUAUUGCUGUUGUAAUUAAGUUUUUUUUUUUUUUUUGACCUUUUUUCGUCUUGCCUUCCUACUGUAUACCGGAGUUGGGGAGCUGCAUGAAAGCCUAAGAGGAGAAGUUUGGAAGUUUCACAAGUUCGAACGGGAAAAGAGGUAUUAUUUUUGUGGGCCGAUCCUGAUUUGCCUGGACGUGUUUGUGCAAUAACCAUGGGAAUGACCUUGGGCUGGCCCAAACAUAUAUUGCUAUGUGGAAAAUUGAAAUCAAGAUGGCCUUGUAGUUUUAACAAUUGCACCGACUUUUCCUGUUUGUACUAUUUCAGUAACAAUAUAAACCCAGCAGCCUAUAAUGAUCCUUAAAAAUCCUAAAAUAUCCCAUAUGUUAGUGGGGGAAAAGCCACUCGUCACUUUCAUCCUCGCUGCAACCAUUGCAAAUGGCAGAUCCACCACGCUAACCAACUCAUCAGCCACUAAAAUUGGAUUUUCAGAUUCCCAAAAUUUUUGACAAUUCAAAACCAUCCAUUGUUACCCUAAAACUGCCAAUUCAAAUCAACUAUAACUACUACCUCCAAAACUCAAAUUUUGCCAACCACCUAAUCCUUAGCCUCGAUUUUUUGGCGACUGACAUCAAAAGAAACUCUUCUGACAUCCUAGAAAAUCUUUGUUUUUUCACAAAUUUGGAUGAUAGCGUAACUUCCAAUUCCUCUUUCUACUUUUUGCCAUCACUUUUGUUUUCUAAUCUCUUUUAUUAUCAUCCUUUUAUCCGCACCAACAACUUGUAAUUUGGGAAUUUCAAUUUGAUAAUUUUCCCAAUUUAUUUAUAAUGGAGAAGAUCUGAUGAUAUGAUACAAAGAUUGGGAUGAAAUGCACAAUAGUGAAACAAACUGUGGUUAUAGCUAAGGAAGGAAAAAAUAGAGGAGUAGGAGGAAGAGAGAGCUGCCGUUCGUUAAGGAUAGAAGACUGACCGUAGUUGCAAGGCAUCAGUUAUUCAAUUUUUGCUGUAUGAGAUUAUGUAAAAGUAAAGGUUAUUGUAGUCAUUUUACCGCUUGGAGGGCAGUCAGUGUAAUUACUUAAACCUGAGGGCAGCUGAGCGAAAUUGUCAAGAACCUUGGGAAAGGUUUCUAAAAUUAUCCCUUUUAAAAUACUUGGGUACCUUUCUAUUGAGUCCAAUUUGCUCCCGAAUAACUAACAUUACUUAGUGAACGAAUAUUGCAAUCAUAAACCAACUGAUUUUUCAAUAACUUGAAUGUGUAUUCUCAUUUUUCUUCCUUGUCUUUCUCCCUGAGAAUUUGCUUUUUGAUUCUGCAAGCUGGUAGACAUGUUGAUUGUCAAAUAUUUUUAAUUAAGAAACAGAAGGGUUGAAUGGAAAUAAGAUUUUUGGCACCAUCGGUACUAUUCUGCUGGUUAUGAUGAGAAGCAACUUCACAAAUUCACGGCUUUUUUUGGGAUUAGGGACACAAAUGAUUGUCAGAUCAACUAUUUUUUUAUCAGUUUUGUCAACUUCUACAAGAUGUCUAUUCAUUUCUUUAGGGUGUAAUUCACUUUGAAUAUGAAAUAAACAUAGAACAAAUUUUUGUGAAUCUCACACAUAACAUUCAAAAUGAUAUAUAUGCAGUGAUCUAAGUGUUACAUUUUUUCAGAGUUCACCUAUAAAAAAUGACAAUAAAUCAUGAUAUUAUUAAACGAUAGACACUGUGACAGCCCCACCUCCCCCUAAGGCGAACCAGAGGGUUCGGCGGACCGCCUGCCCAACUCUCGCCGGAACUCAGUCGUUCACUUCAGUUCUCAAUUAAAAUCGAAAUAAAUCACAGGAAUAAAUAUAACAACAACCUAAAACUUAACGCAAAACUUAUGUACAUUACUAUCUCAAAAGGAAGUACAAACAUCGAAUAUACAAAGGUUCUCAAUUCACCACACCUCCAACCCGUGCCAAGCACUAGGGCGAGAACCAUUACAAAAGAAACAAAAGAACUAUACUGGCUAGUCUAUAUCGAGUUCACGUCCUUGCUCGCCUUCCCCUGUUAAGGAAAACAAACUAAAGGGGUGAGUUAAAAACUCAAUGAGAUUCCAAACACAUAAUCAACAACAAAGCCAAUACAUUAACCAUCGAUAAUCAAUAAUUCAAGAAACAUUUACAAUGGAAAGCGAUAAUAACACAUACAUUAAAAGGAUACGGGCUCACAGGGAGCCAUUUGUUCGUUCAUUCGUUCGUUUGUUCUCCUGUCAUUCCCCUUAUUCCUCCAAUCAUUUGAAAAUGCAUUUUUGUAAGUAAAACCCCCGUUUUUCGUUCAUUUCAUUCACCCCCUCCUGGACGUUGGCCAGGCUCCACCAACCUACAAGGUAAUACUCGAGUAUACCAACGUUCACACUCAGGGUCACCAUAUCGCCCGACCGAGUCCGCUUCUGGCUCGAGUCGAUCGGUAACGAAGGGCAGGGCCCAGUUCAGCCAAAAAGCUUACAUCAUACACAACUAAUGUAUCAAUCAUUAAAUCGUUGAAAAUUUCACGUUUCAUUUAGGUCGAGCGCGAUAAAAUAUACGCUCGCCUAGAAAAUUCGUUUUGGAAAUCAUUGGAAACACUUAACACAUUAUCAAACAAUAACAACAAGUCAUGAAGUCAAGGAAAAUAUAACAAACAAGGAACACUCACCUAUGUACGCAAAACAACGUGCAAAAUAUCAUUCCGGAUAUUAUCUUUAAUCACCGAGAAAACCUAAGAUUAAACGAGAAGGAAUAUUACAACUCAUCUAGCACAAACAAUUACGUGAAAUCAACGAAACUCGACAAAUGAUGAGUAGAACGUAUAAAAAGACUUUAAAGUGAAACGAGGACAUUUGGACCCGUGGACAAAAAUAAUUAGGGUUUCAUAGACCAAACGUAAAACUAAACUCAAAAGGGUUAUAAAAUUUUUCAAUGGAAACACUUGAACCAAAGACAAGUCGGAAUCCAACUAGAUAGGCUAAGAAAUACUAUUUUCGGGAUCGUUUAUAUGGUUCAAAAUCAUCUCAUAUUCAAGUAGAUAUUAUAGACUAAAUGUCUUAAUGAAAUUCAUGUAAAAGGGAGGACAAAAUACUCAAGAAAACCCUAAACCACUCCUUUUUAUUUGGGUAAGAGUAAGUAAACAUUUGGAGUUUCCAAUUGAAGAAGGAUCAUAUUUUAAGAUGGAAAACGGUUAUAGUAUUUGCCAAACGAAAAUAUACAAGUUCAAAUAGAAACUUAGCCCUCGAGCGAAAAUUUGGGCAGCACGCCCUUUGUAUUUACCUAUUUUUUCAGCCAUUUAUGGCUUCAUUGUUUUCCUCAAUCAAUCCCAAAGUCACACACAAUAUCAUCUCAUUUCAAUAGCCAUUCCAUAGGCUCAAAGUCAUACAAGUACAAAAUCAAGCUAACGACAUGUGCGGAAAUGAAGUUUAGCAAAAGGACAGAUUUGAUGUGAUUUUGCGUAAUGGACAUAACCGAGGCUACGCUUAUCGGAUUGAGGUGUAAUUUAUACCGUUUGAAGCUAAGACAAAGAGCUAUAACUUUGAUGAAGACUACUUAGUCCAGUUCUCACCCUAACUAGGUCAAAUGUACCAAAACAACUCCAGAUUUUCCAGUUCGAGGCUCACUGUGAAAUUCAACUAGCAGUCCUGAUUCAUUCACUCAUAUCUCAGCACACACAACUCCAAUUCAGGUAAUUCCAAAGCCAUUUGAAAGCUAAGACACAAGGCUAUAAUUCUUAAGUAGACAUCAACAACCAAUUCGGUAAUAUUCCUGGUCAAACUAACCACUUACAUAAGCUGAUUAUCAGUUUCGGACAGAAACAGGGUAGCAGGGGUAUUUUGGUCUUUUCACAGGCUACAUUGCUCCAAUUGAGCUGAAAUUUUACAGGAAACUAUAAAACAUUAUUUCCUACAACUUUUAUGUUUUGGGCAAGAGCUGAUUCGGCCUCCAUCAUGGCCUAACAGGUCCAGGCAGAACAGGGUAAAAAUGAAACCCUAAACUGGAAUUCAUGCAUUCAAGUGCUAAUUUUCCACAAAACAACAUCUAAAACAACUAAAAACCACUAAUAAGCAAUUAAUUGAAGUAAAGAGGAUGUUCUUGGUAAAAUAUCUUAAAAUCACAAGAAAGGUAGGAGCUUAAUCUUUCCUCCUCCAAAAUAACUCCACCAACACCUUUAACCUUCCCUAAUGAUCACUUGUAUGGUGUAGUUUGUGAUUUGGUUGGUUGAGACUCAAGAUUUGAGCAAAUUUGGAAGCUAGAAAUUGAAGAGCUCUCUCUUGUUUUCCUCCUCAAGAGGUUCGGCCAAGACACAAGAAAAAUGAGAGAAAAUUGAGUCAAAAUUGACUUUAGGAAAGUUAAGAAGGUCUUGGUCAAAUCCAACAUCCAAUGGGUUUGUGACACUUGGCACCUUGCUUGCUUAAGCUUAUCUCUUUGUCUCUCUAAUACUAAUCCAUAUAGGCAACUUCUAAUUAUCUCUUAACACCUUGUAAAAUAAUAUCACUUAACCAAACUCCAACAAGUUGUCAAAAAUAUAUCGCAUUUACCGCACUAGCGGGUCCCACGUCCAUAAUACACUUCAAACUCAACGUACACUAAUUCAUACUAGGAAGAUGAUUUUAAAACUGUACUUACUUGUAAAAAUGCAUAGAAAAUUUAAUAUUUCCAAGGAAAGUAUAAAAUAUAGUCAAAGAAAUAAAAUAAUGUUGAGAAAAUGUGAAAUUUUUUUGGGUCCUCACAGACACAAAUAUGAAAAUCCCUAAAAUCAACGAGAUGGUUAUCUAUUAAUUUGUUUCUAUCUUUUAAUUCAUACGUCUUUUAAUAGAAUUUUUCUUUUUUUAUUUAACCAAUGAUGGCUGUAAACCUUGACGGCCACUCUAAUGACUGCCCUUGCCCCAAGCCAUGAUUUGGAUUUGGAUUUGAAUUGACAGAGCAUCGUGACUGGUAGGAAUUUGAGAAUAUCUCCCAAAAUUUCAUUGGGCAAGUGGGAAAGCUAUCCUUCAAUACCUACCAUAGACUUCAAAGCUUAAAAUUCAUACGUUAAGCACUAACAAGAGUUUUGGAUAAUCCAUACCAUGCUAACUAAAGUUUGUCCAAACAUAUUCACUCAAAAAAUGUCUUAGCUAUGGAUCAGCGCUUUUACAAUAAAAGAAAGAAACAAAUCAAAAAGGAUGCAAAGAACUAAGCUAGAGAAUUCUAGUAAGCUAAAAUUAUAUAACGAGCAAAACUAUCCAUGAAUAGUUAUCUAUAUAUUACGUACAAACCAAGAAACAGUAUGACAAAGAAACAGUGAACUAAGCCACAAAAUUUUUCAUAUCCAUACUUACUAUUUGAUAAACAACUAUAAUAAUAAUUUUAUCAAUAUAAUAGGAUACUUUUGAUGGUACUUCAUUGUAGAUUUAGAUUUAUAAGAUAGAAAAAAAAAUGUUGAAAUAAUUCAUUUAGAGUUUAUAAAAUUUUCAAAUAGUGAAAUUAUCAUAAUUUAGUAGUGAUUUUGGGUUAUUUCUUUUUAAUUUAUUUUUAAUCUUAGUACCAAAAAAUAGAAAACAAAGAUCAGUAAAAACAUUAGAUUACAUAUAAAAUUAACUCGUUAAAAAAAUCACUAAUUCGACAUUUGGUUACAAUAGAAACUAGAAUCAAUAGUGGUAGUUCUACAAUUUUAUCGGCGAAAAAUUAAAAAAUAGGAAUAAGAAGGAAAAAAAAUGAAAAAAAAAUUUAAAACUCUUUCAUUUUUUUUUUGGCGAAACCCCUUUUUACGGGGCCAGGUUGCCAAUCCCUAAUUUAUUAAUAAACUUGAAAAAUUUACUUCUAAAACUCAUUCUAAAUAUAAGAAUACCAAAUAAGAGAAUUUCAUGAAAAUAUUCAAGGGUAAAAUUGUUAUUUUAAAUGAAAAAGGAGGUAUAUGUAAUUUUUUAAAUCUCAAGGGAAUUUAGUGAAAUUAUCGAAAGCCUCAGGGAGGUUUCUGAAAUUAUCCCAUUUUUCUAUCAUCAUACGUGGAAGCUGGAUCCGAGUAUUCCAGGCUCCAGCAGCCUUCUCUGAGGCGGACCCCAGACGAGAGAAAAGAAAGUAGCGAAGAGAAUCAAAUCCCGGAAAGAUCACAAGACGUGGCAUUUUGUUCAUCAAGUCAUGUGUAUGCAGACAUUUCCCUUGAGAACGAAUUAAAUUCAGUCAUGGAUUACGAAUUUCUGAUGUGAAACUUUUUUUUUUUUUUUGACAUAAUCUGAUGUGAAACUCAAAUCUAAAUCUAAGUGUUAUUGAUAACAUUACUUUAGAGUAUACGACAAAGCCAUACGGUAACAAUGACUUGGAAAAUAUAAAUCACCAUUGGCAACAUUUGUUGUUAUAGGUGCUGCUAAUGUGUAUGACAAUUGAAGGCCCUAAUAUUAUUGAUAAUAUUAGCUCUUAAUUACUAUUACUAUUAUUAUUAUUAUUAUUGAUAACAUUAAUUAUUAAUUACAAAUUACAAUGUGACAUUUCGAGCACAGACUAAUUGCCACCAUUGGCAAUAUUAUUUGUUAAUUAGAAAUUCUUAAUGUGUAAGUCAAUUCAAAGUCUUAAUGUUAUUGAUGGCAUUAGUUAUUAAUCACCAAUAUUAUUAAUAACGUUACAAUCUUUUUUUUGUCUUGGAAGAGAUUAGAUUCCACAACUUUUAAGACAUAAAGUUUCGAGUUUAACCAUUAAACUAAAACUUUUUUGACAUUAUUGAUAACAUUACACAUGAAUUCGUAAUUCAUAAUUUGACACUUGUACCAAAGAAUAGCGUGUUUGGAUAUGUUUCUAUUUGCAAAAAAUUAUUUGAUUGCAUCAUAAACAUCAUUUUUAAUCACCUUUUUAUUUUUUUUAAUCAUCUUUUUAUCUACAUAUAUCGCAUUAUAAAAAUUGCUAUGAUGUUAUGCUAAAAAUAUGUUUCCAAAUAAUCUCCAAUUUAAAAACUUAGUUUAAACUCACACCUCCCUAAUGUGGUUCUCGAUUCAAGGUUCGAGCUUUAGUAUAUUAAUAUAUUACUAUGAAUUGGUAAUUGAAUUACGUUUAUGCCAUAUUGGAUUACUAUCAUGUAUAGUUGUAUACCCAUUGGGCAACUAAAUGGCACUAAGAAGUUCUAAACUGAAAUCAAUGUAAAGAUUUUUUUUCCAUUUGCAACAUUUUUUUUUCUUUUUCAAAAUAAGUGGAGUCCAGUACUUUUAAUUUUGGGAUAAUUUCAAAAACCCUUUCUUGAGAUUUUUAACAAUUUCACUGAGCUCCUCUGAGGUUUACCUCCCUUAAUUUGAUAGUUUUAGUAACAAAACCUUAAAUUAAUAUCGACUUGGUCAAAUUUUUAAAUGAAUAUCCAAAAAUACCCCUGUGUAAUGAGUUUUAUUUACUUCCCUAUAGAAUUAUAAGAUUAUCUAAUGUAAUUAUAAGAAAAAGGUGCCGAAUUUUUCCAUGUCUAUACCUGUUAUUUGAUAAACAAUUAUAAUAAUAAUUUUAUCACUAUGAUAUGAUACUUUUGAUGGUAUUUUAUUAUGGAUUUAGAUUUAUAAGAUAGGAAAUAAAAUGUUGAAAUAAUUGAUUCAAAAUUUAUGAAUUUUUUGAAUAGUGGGAUUAUCAUAAUUUAGUAGUGAUUUUGGGCAAUUUUUUGAUUUAUUAUUAAUUUUAAUACCAAAAAAUAGAAUACAAAAAUUAGCAAAAAAUAUUGGAUUAUGUAUAAAGUUAACUCAUCAAAAAAAUCACUAGUUCGACGUUUGGUUACAAUAGAAACUAGAGAUAAUAAUGGUAAUUUUACAAUUUUAUUAGUGAAAAAUUGAAAUAAAAAGGAAAAAGAAGGAAAAAGAAUGAAAAAAAUAACUUUAAAGUCAUUGUAAGUAUAAUUAUCCCAAAUAAAGGAAUUUUAUUAAAAUAUUUAAGAGUGGUAUUGUCAUUUUAAAUAAUAAGGGAGGUAUGUAUAAUUUUUCAAAUCUUAAGGAAGCUCAAUGAAAUUAUUAAAAAACCUUGGUGAGGUUUCUGAAAUUAUCCCUUUAAUUUUCGGUAGCAUCUACCGCUGGAUCCAUAUAUACCUUGCCCUAUAAUAUUCAUUGUCAUUGACAUCAAGAAAACAAGAAAAAAAAAAUGGGUGAAGUUAAUGAUGGGAUGCUUUCCCCUUUCCAAUCCUUGCCGGAAGGCUGCAAAUCACACAUCAUCUUUUACACAUCUAUUCAAGAUGCAUGCAGUGCAUCACUCAUUUCUAAGGAGUUCAACUCUGCUUCUAAGUCUGAUACUGUUUGGGGAAAAUUUCUUCCUCCAGAUCUCAAAGAGAUCAUCUCAAAUUUAGUUCCCUGGUUGAGCUCUAAAACGAAGAAAGAGCUCUACCGUUUGCUUUGUCACUUUUCAAACCCGAUCGACAAGGGAAUCCUGAUCAACAAGGGAAACCGGGUAAUCUCUCAACUCCUCAUUUUUUUUAUACAAAAAAAAAAUUUAUUUUUAAAAAUUGUUGUUUUUCCUUUUUCUUGUUUUCAUCUUUUCUUUUCUGGGCAAUUUGGAUUCACUAUAUGGAAAGAGAGUUAUCUUUUGUCUCACCGAUUCUCCCUCCCCUUUUUCCCUUCUAAUGGAAAUAUUGGCAAAUCAAUGUUAACAAAAUCAAGGAGUUGGUCUUACAGGUUGUAAUGAAACUGUAGAAUCUCCAAAAACGUUACAUAAGUAAGUUACUUAUGAAAAGGGGGAUCUUGAUUCACAGUUGAUCACUGAAAGGAUCAGGAUCUAGGGUCUUGAAUCGUUGUACACUGUACGAUCUUUUAACCCAAAAUGUUAGUACUAGUUAUUAUGCCAUGAAUUAGCUGAAUCUGAAUCUCUGUCAAGAUUUCCACAGAGAGUAGGCUUGGCAGGUUUUUCCAAGAAGUUUUAAUAGGAGAGGUUAGAAAAGGGGCGUUUGAUUGCUAUUUUUAAGAAUUUUUGUUAAAAAAAUGUACCAUAACAGUAUGACGUAUGUAAAGUAAAAAAAUGAUUAUAAAAUAUUUUCAAGAAAAUAUAAAAAUUUGUCUGUACAAGACCACGAUCCAAACAAGUUAGUGUUCCUGGACCUACUGGUACAUGUUAUUGUUUGUUAUUGUACCAAAUUUCAGCCCCUUGCCUAUAAAUGGGCUGCAAAUUGAAUCCACACUGUUGAAGAUUCAAUUUGAGAGCUCGUGGAGCUUUUUGGCCUGGACAUAUUGAAUAGUCGGGAUGGUUAAUUUGUCGAAUUGUUUUUGAGUGAUGGACUUAGGAUGAAGAAAUACAUGAUGCAUCUUACAGCCUUGGCAUACUACGUGAAUCUUAUAAUAGCAGAGACUAGAGCGUGACUGCUAUUUUUUUUUUAUUUUCCGCUAUUCUAGUUCAAGAACAUUUAUUUGUCAGAUUAACUUACUUUAAUGCUGGCCUGACAAUUCAAAUCGCUUUGUUCAUAGCAUUUCCAACCUGUAACUUUUAAUUUGUCUCAUGAUUUUCAGCGUUGCUUUCUAAAUGUCUCUCUUUUUGUUGAUGAUACAUUUCUCAUGUUGACAUUACCGGGAUGCUUAUGAAGUAGGCAUAAUCAUAAUUUUUCACAACCUUGUCUCUACGAAAAAAACAAAUUAAAAUCCGUCAAAUGCUCUUUCCAUAUUGAUCUCAAGCAUAUUAUUGAUUAACAUAAAAGAUGCGUCUGCUGUUGGACAGCGCUUCUGGCUAACUAAGUGCUCGAAAAAAUGUUAUAUGCUGAGCGCGUGGGAGCUCUCCAUUCAUAAGAAAGAAGAUCCUGAGUGCUGGAAGUGGUAUGAGUUAUCUGGAUCAAGGUAUGCAUAAAAGGCUGAGACACCCUGCCUGAAAUUUCAGUCUAAUCUUGGCCAAUCUGGAUGAAAGCUCUAUUCUUUGUGUUUCUUUGCUCAUUGAUUAAUCUGGAAAAGAAAUGAUAUAUUCAGGUUUUCUGAGGUGGCUGAGCUGCAGCGAGUAGAUAUCCUUGAUAUACGAGUAAAAAUGCCAGCUCGAUCACUGUCACUGAAGACUAAUUAUGGGGCUUACCUUGUGUUCAAAACUAAUGAGUAUUCCUAUGGACUUAAAACUGUUGCCAAGGCUUCUGUUAGCUUUGCUGCUACUGCUGGCACUAGUGGUCUCUCUGAGCCUAUGGAAGGCGACUCUGUCUACCUAAAAAUACCUACAGACGUGCAUUAUCUAACACCUACAGAUGAAGAUGAUCCAGGAUAUAGAAGGCGGGAGCCUGAUCUGCAGCGACGAUUUGUUCUGGUGCCUCGGCCUGAGCAUGAAAUUGAUGGCCGGGUUCCACGUGAGAGAAACGAUGGAUGGCAGG
rnacentral:lncRNA from 1 species